rnacentral:lncRNA from 1 species
CCAAUAGGUCGGUGGAACGUCGUGUGCGAAGAGAGUCCGGAACGGAGUCCAGAGGGGGGCGGGCGCCCAGGUCCUCAGGGCGGGCGCCCUGGGCCUAGCCCCUUUCGGGCUCCACUUCCUUCCCGUGGCUUCUGGAGUCUUCUAGAUGGUAGAAAAUUGCGCGGUGGGUUGAUAUGUCUAUGUAAUCCCGACAUGUAGGCCUUUCUUCCUUAUUUCCUGAUAACCCCCUGCAGAAAUAGACAAACACCAAAACUCGUGGAAUUCUGUCAGAUAAAACCCUAAGUCUAGAUGUUGAUUUCAUUUGGAUCCUUUUCUUUAUUUAUUUGAUAAUUAAAUUUGAUACUUAAGGACCGUCAACAAUAGCCUACCACUAUUGCUUGAAUGAUUAGUUGAUCUAGUGGUAUGUAUAUGAGUUUGUUCAUGAGCUAGUGAACCCAAGUACUUGAUCUAUUUUGGAUUGUUAACAAGUGACAAGUACAACAUUGGCAAGAUAACCCUUAAUGUGAGGUGUGAAAAAGCUUGUCAUUGGUUCAAACCGGACUUGGAAGCUUAGUCAAAUCAACAUAGUUCAAGCUUACAAUUAGAAGCUCAUGAUGAUUAGAGUACAAGAACAAGACAACAAUGCAAAUGGAUAUCUAAACUCAAAUGUUUCCUCAAUUAGUAUCCUACAAUUGUAACUCAUGAUAGCAAAUGUUCAAGAAAGUAAACAUGUGAUUCCAUACUAGAAGACCUUAAUUGGUAGAAGAAUCCCAUAUGGUAUCGGACAAGAUAUUUCAUUUAUACAUAUGGUAUCUAUCAUACAAGAAGGUGGUUCCACAAGUGAUCCUCAACUAUAAGUGAUCAUCAAGCAAAGAAAAUUCCCUCACCAACAAGAUUGACAAGUUAAUGACCCAUGCUAUGACAUAGGGGGAGGUGCCCCACCAAAUGGUAUCAAGGUCAAAGAUCCUAUGUGGUAUCUCAACAGAAAUUCAAGAAAUGUCAUUCCAACACAUAUGGUGAUGUCCAUAAAAAAUGCAAGAUUCAAGCCUCAACCAUCUAUCCCAAUGUAAUCCUUUGUCACAAUGAGAUUCACAUUUUUUCAAUUGGUAUGAAGUGAUUUAAUUGGUAUCACAUACCUUUUAUGGAAAUUGAUGACAAAGGGGCAGAAGUUGGAACAAAGAUAUAUUCAUGGGAUAAGUUGGACAACAAAAGAUAUGUUUCAAGGGGGAGAGAUCAAACAUGGACAUGGACCAAGAGGGAGAGAUCAAACAUGGACAUGGACCAAGAGGGAGCAACACUGAAGGAAAAAAGAUGGAUCAAAAUUCUUGAACAUGAGAAGCACACAAGUAGGGGGAGCAAGCUCAUGAACAUUGAUUGUUUGCAUUUGAUUUGUGCAUAUUCAUGUGCUUGCUUGCAUUGCAUAAGUUUCUAAAUACAAUAUGCAUGCUUGUGUGGUGUAUGCUAGUCAUAGAACUUGAUUGAUGAUAUGAAAACUAGCAUGCAUAGGUUGGUAGCUAGACUUGUGUUCUUCAAGUAAAGACUAGACCCUUGCUCUUAAUGUUGAUCUCACGGGGUUUCUAGUGUUUUUUCUGUCUAGCUACUCAUGGUGCUAAGGAUGGUGUACAUCGAAUGCUUCAAAUGAUAUCAAAUUUGGUAUCAAGCUACAAAGGUUUAUUCUAUACACCUUAGCACUUAGUUGGGUUUUAUGGUGCUUAUCCAAAUCUUGACAUAAAGCUUAAAUGUUGGAUAAGUAGCAUAAAAUCCAAACCAAGUUAGCAAUUUACACUUGUGUGAAGUGCUAGCUUGAAAAAGCUUAUUAAUUUCCAUAUCUUUGUAGAGUUGUCAUCAAUUACCAAAAAGGGGGAAAUUGAAAGUUCCUGUUUGGUUUUGGUAAUUGAUUGACAACUUAGGUGGACUAAUAGUGUUUAUGUAAGAUACACAGGAGAUUAGUCCACAGGUGAUGAUGUGAUGAUGAAGGAGCUCAUUGCAUAUGAGACAUGACAUGGAGUCAUGUGACCAAGGUGGAGAAGAUCAAGAUGAGGCUUGGCUUGAUGGACCGGUUGCAAGAGUGAAGGGCAAGUCGAAGGCUUUGAAGCGAGGGACCGCGUGUGACGGUGAAGCUUGAGCAAGACUUGGCGCCGAUGGACCGAGGCAACGGUGAAGAGCAAGUGAGGUCAAGAUCGAUGAACCAAUACGGUCACGUGAUGAUAUGAAGUGGAUCAUGUCAUUUGGUGAUUGGUUGGUGCAUGUGUUGCAUCAACAUUGGAGGAGAUGGAAUGGAAUGUGCAAGGCAAAGGUAUAACCUAUAGGGCAUUUCAUUUCACCGGUCUAAGUUGGGUAGAAGUGCUUGACCAGAUUUAGGAUAGAUAACCGUACUAUAAAGAGGGAAAAUCUUUAAUUGCAAUGGUUGUCUAGUGCCACUAAGUGUGAGUCUCAUUUGCAUAUACCUAGCACUUAGUGACGUGGUGAGUUGCAUGAGAAAGCCUAUAAAAAUGAUUGUGAAAUGCUAACACACAUGCACAUGGUGGUGUACACUUGGUGGUGUUGGCACAUUUGCAAAGGAGAAGGUGUUGGAGUUGAUUUUGAUCAACUUGGAGAAGAGAGAGAGGCUUUUUGGUGUUCUCCAGACAUUAGGAUGGCUUUUAGAUUGAAAUACUGCUUUGAUCCAUUAUGAUUUGGAUUGAGUAUCCAUAUGGAUUGUAUAGCCCUCUGAGUAAGCUUUUCGAAAUGUCCAAGAUCAUCGAAUUCGGAGUUCGGAGCUAGAAGUUAGCAUCCUAACAAGUUUUGAGGUGCUGCUGAGAAUGCAGGACCGGAAGUUCCGGUGGGACUUCCGGUGGUACUUCCGGUGCCUGACCGGAAGUUCCGGUCAGCCUGACAGGAAGUUCCGGUUGGGCUGUGAGAGGUGCGUUCGUGUUUGAGAAAACACUUCCGGUGUCUGACCGGAAGUUCCGGUCCAUGACCAGAAGUUCCGGUCCACAACCGGAAGUUCCGAUCAAUGAAUGGAAGUCCGCAUAGGAGCCUUUGCGCAUGGCCUCACGUGUCAGGAUUCACUUCCGGUCUCUAACCGGAAGAACUUCCGGUGGGUCCGAGUCUCUCACAACGGUCAGAUCUGGUUGGCCACAACGGUCAGAUCUGCUUGGACCGAGGCUCUAACGGUCAGAUCUGGUUGGACCGGAAGUUCCGGUCCCAGGCACCGGAACUUCCGGUGGUACUCUAUAAAUAUCGUUGGGAGCGUGAGCUGAGCAGAUGAGGGAGCCAUUUUCUUCUUCCUACUCUUCUCUCUACCCAUUUGGAACGCAAGGAAGUUAGGGUUCCUCCUCUCCUCUAUCUCUCCCAUGGAUUUGAGUUGAAAUUUCUUAGAGAAAUUGAGAGCCCUUUGUGGGUGUGGAUGAGAGGUUGAAGAUCCACCAUUUCCCCUUCAUCUCCCUCUCAUGCUUGGUGCUAUUUUGAGUAAGGGAGUGAGAGCCUAGUGUGUGCAUUCGGGAUUUGCAUUUGGUGGCACUAGGAAAUCUUUGUGAUUGGGGAUUUCUUAUUACUCUUGGUGAUUGCCAUCACCUAGACGGUUUGGUGGAUUGUGACUCCGUUUGAAGCACGCAAGAAGAUUGUGCGGUGCUCCGGAGGAGGAUUUGUGAGGGGUACGGUGCUCACCCCGUGGGGAUCGCAGAGAGCAACUCUAGUUGAGCGAGACAUGAAGAGUGACAAGUGGUCCGGCCAGGUCAAGUGCUAGAGCUUGUGGUAAGCACUCCACAUGGGAGAGUGUGACUUGCGGGUCACCACUAGCAAGAGGACCGGCGGCAACCUUGGAGCUUGUCUCAACGGGGACGUAGCUUGGUGGCAACCAAGUGAACCUCGGGAGAAAAUCAUCGUGUCAUCAUUUUUCUUCCCGUUGGUUUGCAAGUCCCUAACACAAGCUUGUUCUUACAUUCAUAUACUUGUGCUUGUGUAGUUGCUCUUGUAAUUAGUUAGCUUGUGUAGCUUGCUAGUUACCUUCUUGCUUGUGUAGCUAGAAGUAGUUCCCUUGCGUGACUAAUUUGGUUUGUGUAACCUUGUUAGUCACAUUGCUUAGUUUGUGUAGCUAAGUAAUUUGCGCUCUAUAAUUUGGCAUUGGUUGCCUUGUUAUUGAGCUUGCUAGUGAGCUUAGGCUUUGUGCGCUUUGCCUCACUAGUUUGUGUAGGAGCUCCCCCGAUUUGCAAAGUACUAGUUUCAUAGGUUUGUGUGACCUUGCUCAUAGAAUUGUUUAGGUGAGCUCUUGCUAAGGUAGCACCUUGCUUGCUUGUUUAGGAUCUUUUCAAGGUGCUAGAGAACUUAGAUAGAGGGGUGUAGUCUUGGCUAGACCGAUAGUUUUAAUUCUGCAUUUGUUUUGGUUAGCCGGCGCGAUAAGGUUUAGAAAGGACUAUUCAACCCCCUCUAGUCCGCCAUCUCGACCCUUCAGGCGCUUGACCGUAUUCACCUCGUGGUCAUGGUCAUGAGGGCACUUGCCCCUGAAGUCAUCGCGAUUGUCACGCCGCCUAUCCCAACCUUCUCUAUGGUCAAGGUUGUCAGUGCGAUGAUGAUUCCUGUUGUCAAAGCGUCCACGACUGUUGUCUCGCCGGGGAGGCUGGUCGGGGCCUCUCGCAUCCUCUCAGAUGAGCUUUUCUGCGUCAUCGGCGUCAGCGUAGUUUUUUGCCAUGGCGAGGAGCUCGGCCAUCGUGGUCGGCCUUUUGCGCAGUAGCUUAUUCCUUAGUGCUUCGUGGAAGCGUAGCCCUUUAUUGAAGGCUGAUAUGGCCUUGUCGUGAGAAAUUUUUGGAUUUUUAAGGCGCAUAUCCGAGAAUCGUCGGAUGUAAUCACGCAGAGGCUCGUUUUUCCUAUCCCUUAUUCUCUCGAGAUCGUACUUGUUCCCAGGCUGCUCGUAGGUAGCUAUGAAAUUGUCGAUAAACGCCUGGUGCAGUUCUUCCCACGAGUCAAAAGAGUCCUCCGGCAGGCCGAGGAGCCACUGAUGGCCAGCCUGGUCGAGGACGACUGGGAAGUAGUUUGCCAUGACGUGCUCGUCUCCUGCUAUUGACCGAACUGCAAUCUCGUAGAGGGUUAUCCAAUUUUCAGGGUUUUCCUUGCCGUCAUAUUUUUUAAGCUUCUCGAGUUUAAAGUUGCGGGGCCUUACGACUUGGCGAAGGUGUGAAGAAAACUGCCUUAGGCCGGCAGGGCCAUGCGCGGCAUCGUACUCAAUGCGCCGCAAGUUUUCGUGCACCGCUCUUUCCGUGGCACGCCUAUUGAUGCGGUCCCGGGCGUCCUUGGGAGGGAUGUUGUAUCGUAGAUCCCUGUCCUGGUUCACUUCCUGACCAUGCCCACGCUUCUGCUCGCAGUAGCCGCUGGCGUCCCGACCACGGUUGUCGCGCCCCACAUCCUUCCUGCGAUUGUUGGGAGAGCGGCUACGGUGGCACUCGCUGGGUUGUGGUGAAGUCCAGCUGCGAUGAGUCUGGUCGGAAGAGACCUCUGUGUAGGAGAUAGCUUGGACCCUUUUGAGUAAGGUGGCUGUCUGUCCCAUCGCGGCGAUCAGGUGUGCGCGUAUACUGGAUCGGACACCCUGGCACUCAGGAGUAUCAGGGAGUCUGUCCAGGUUUGCCAUAGCAAUGGCCACGUUAGCACUUGGCGUUUUGUAAACUUGCUGAUCUCCGACCAUGUCGAAAGCGUCACUGAGGUUAUGCGGCGCAAGUUGCCGUUCCUCAUCCACGCGCCGCCGAGCGCGGUCGGCAUUGUGCUGUUCGCGGAGCUCCUUCUGCUUGUCUGUUUCUCCGUCGACAACCGGUUCAUCGUUGCUGACAUUGAAGAUAAGAUCUCCCCGCUGAGGCGGGAAGACUGGGAAGCGAGAGAAGCCCGAAGGAUAUGGUGGUAAAUCCAGGUCGUAAUCUUCGUCCUCGGAGUUUAUAACCUCGGUAGGGACAGACCCUGUGCUGGAGUUUGUACUGGAAACUUGGUCGUUGGGCAGCACUUGGAUUGAUACCAUGUUGACGUAAUGGCGACCUACUCGGCUGCUCUGUCUCAGCGACCCGCCCGGCCUGUUGAAAAGGAAUUGGAUGUGCCGUGAGUAGUGAUCGGCCGAGUUGUUUAGUCCGUAAGGAGGACUCUGGUCUGGAUCUGCCUUGAGCUCAACGGACCGCCCCGUGGGGGUGGACGUUAUUGUCAAAGAUGUCCCCAGCUGUUCGUGUGUGAUGACACGAGUUGGCCGGUAGGAGUCGAAAGAGUCUAUCGGCACAACUUGAUUAGAUUGGCGCGAGAUCCCAUCUACCAGUCGGGAAGCUUCAAGGAGCCUGAGAUUGGCGUGAUCAAGGGCUCGGAAAAGAUCUGAGUCGUCGACCUUCUUUCCCCUGUAACGAUGGAGCAGAGGUCGAGUGCUCGGUGUCGGCGUGAUCGGAAUCGACGCCGCCGUCGUCCCAAAUCGGAUAUGGGUUUCUUCCAAAGUUGUGGUCGUGAGGCUGCUGCCAUGAGUCGUCCACGUGAUCUGUCCGACGAUGAACGUGAGGCCUUCAGGCACGGCCGCGGAAGCUGGAACGAUGACAAUCUUGUUCGUCGAAAGAGCUGUAUGCACACCCCCUACUUGGCGCGCUACUGUUGACGAAAGCUAGUUGGCAGUCUACCUUGGGGUAUACCCACGGUAGUAGUUUAUCGGUAGACGAUGUGCAAGCUAUGAACCUGAUGGUGACGCAAGACACAGACAGGGUUUUUAACCAGGUUCGGCCGCCGUGUGGGCGUAAUACCUACGUCCUGCAUCUGGUUGUAUUGAAUUGUGUUGAGAGAAUAAUCCUGUCCUAGGGGGGUCCCUUGCCUCUCCUUAUAUAGUCCGGAGGCCAGGGUUACAGAUCUGGAAACUAAUCCUAGUCGGUUACAAUUGCCAUAGAUAGUAUGAUAUCAAUUCCUAUUCCAGCCAACUAGAAUCCGGCUUGAUCUCCACGUUUCGUUUCCUUGCGUGAAACUCCGAGCAGCUGGAUCAAGCCUCGAACUGUCUUCGUGAUGGGCCAAGCCUCCUGGCCCAAGUCUAGCCGUAAGGGUAUAGGGGUUUAUACCCCCACACCCUGGGCUUAAGUAUGUCUUCCUUAAUGGCGAUAGGGAUGACCCUAUCAUCAUUAGUGAUCAGCUCUUUGAGGAAGAGGCCGCUAAAGUUAUCACCGUAUUAGAGAAACACCGCUCUGUCUUAGGAUACUCCCUCCAAGACCUUAAGGGAAUUAGUCCUGCUCUCUGCACUCAUCGCAUAGCCAUAUAACCUGAUGCUACACCUUCUAGGGAGCCUCAAAGAAGGCUAAAUAAUGCGAUGAGGGAAGUAGUGAAGAAAGAGGUCUUGAAGCUCUUGCACGCGGGCAUAAUUUACCCUGUUCCAAACAGUGAGUGGGUCAGCCCCAUACAAGUAGUACCUAAGAAGGGAGGAAUGAUGGUAGUUAAAAACGAUAAUAACGAGCUUAUCCCACAAUGAACCGUCACGGGAUGGAGGAUGUGUAUAGAUUACCAAAAACUCAACAAGGCUACAAAGAAAGAUCACUUCCUGUUACCCUUCAUUGAUGAGAUGCUAGAACGGUUUGCAAAGCAUUCUUGCCUUUGUUUCCUUGAUGGUUAUUCGGGUUAUCAUCAAAUCCCGAUCCAUCCCGAUGAUCAAAGUAAGACGACAUUCACAUGCCCCUACGGGACAUAUGCAUAUAGGCGCAUGUCUUUUGGCCUAUGCAAUGCUCCCGCUUCCUUCCAAAGGUGCAUGCUGUCUAUCUUCUCAGAAAUGAUUGAAGAAAUCAUGGAAGUCUUCAUGGACGACUUUUUCAUCUAUGGGAAGACUCUUGACGACGGUCUUGAGAACCUAGACCGUGUCUUACAAAGAUGCCAAGAGAAGCACUUGAUCCUGAACUGGAAGAAAUGUCAUUUCAUGGUUUGGGAGGGGAUAGUGCUAGGACAUAGAGUGUCCGAGCGUGGGAUAGAGGUGGAUAGAGCUAAAAUAGAGGUCAUAGAAUAGAUCCCACCUCCCACGAAUGUUAGAGGCGUACGCAGUUUUCUUGGUCACGCAAGUUUUUAUAGGAGGUUUAUACAAGAUUUUUCACAAAUCGCUAGAACUUUAACAAACCUGUUAGCUAAAGAUGCACCCUUUAACUUUGACGAUGAGUGCUUAGUGUUGACAAUAGCUAACACCACUUAGAUACCAGGUUGUCAUCCCCAGCAUGGAGCCAGAGUGUACAAAGGUAUUUAUAAAUAUGGAGGCUCUCUAGAAAAUAAUCUAUUCUAUCCGCAAGCGCACAGAUAAAAUACCUUAUUGUAGCAUUUCACCAGGAAAGUAUUCCAGGUAUCGUUAUUUAUAAUUUUUCUUAAGAGGACAAAGGGAGAUGAAAUUAAGAUAAGGAUAAAAUCUAUCAAGGCAUAGACUAGAGAUAAACUUGCAAGAACAUGAUUACUAAUAAGGAACUCGUCACACAGUCACUUACUUUGGCAGGGGGUAAACCAUAAAGAUAAUGAUAAUGAAAUAUAAUUUCAUGGGUAAAUAACACAGCGAUUAGAAAAUAGACUACUCCUCAUAUAUGUAAGGUGAUGUCGGAUUAGCUAGAAAAUGGAUUCUAAGUUAUCUACUAUCUACUAAGUCACAAUCUACUCUAGUUAUCUAUAAGAUCAUAUAUAGUAUAAAAGACUCUUCAUUUAUGUAUAAGGAACAUUGGUAAAGUAAAUCAGAGCAUCGCAAGACUUACUCCGCAAUACAAAUUUUGCCUGUCCUAUCAACGGAGGGUGGACUAUAUAAGAAUCAACGAAGCUGUCACUAUCGCGAACUACCACACAACCCGGCCAAUAGGAUACAUUUGCAGGUAAAUAAUAUCUAAGCACCACGCCUACAUAUGAUCUACCACUUAACUCCCACGUGUCAAGAGCUAAGCACUUUGCAAACUUAUACAUAAACUCAUUAUUAAUCAUAACUAUAUCAAAUAUAGAACUAGAGCAAACUAAGAGCAAAAUAAAUAGAGACAUAAUGCAAUUAGAACAAAGUAUUAGAGAAAGAUAUGAAAUAAUACCAAUCUUUUUAACGAAGAUCAGAAUCUAGAGCGUAGUGCUCUACUUCUCUAAUUCCUAUCUAAUCAAUCCUCUAAACUUGAAGGAUUAGGGAGUAGCUAAUUCUAAUUCUCUGUGGGAGAGAUGUCUAAACCCUAACUUUGAUGGCUACCUCUAAAUAAUGAUUUCUCCUCUCUCCCCUUGGGGUGGAGAGGCCUUGAUUAUAUAGUCCUUUCAAGUGAAUUUGGGCCGUCGGAUCAAACCGACAUUGAUCGCACGGUUUUCCUUGAUCCUUUAGGUCGGUGGAGCACGAUCCAAGAGUUUGGUUCUGAUUGGCCCCGAGGCCAGGGCGGGCGCCCAAGGGGGCAGGGUGGGCGCCCUGCCCCCGAGCCCGUCCGGUCUCCCGUUCGUUCCCGUGGCUUCUGGACUCUUCUAGAUUAAAGAAAAUUACGCGGCACGUAAUUAUCCCGUUGUAAACAUGACAUGUGGGCCUUCUCUCCAUAUUUUCUGAUAACCCCCUGCAGAAAUAGAUAAACACAAAAGCUCGUGGAAUUCUGUCAGAUAAAACCCUGAUUCUAAAUGUUUGGUGCAUAUUGAUCCUUUUCCAUGUUUAGUUGAUGGUUAAAUUUAGUACUUAAGGACCGUCAACAAACUCCCCCAAGCUUACCCUUUGCUCGUCCCUGAGCAAACAGCUAAACUCAGACGGAUUAGGAGUUGCUUCGAUGUUUUCUUUCGUGACAGGCACAGAUGCUUUCAUAUAAAACUCUUCCAGAUUAGAGUGAAGUGUCAUGGAGCUUAAUACCUGCACUUAAGUCUUAAGUAAUCGAAAGACAAAAUAAUUAAAUCAAGCACUAUUCCUCCUGUCUAUACUUCACCUUUGUUCCGGGGUUUUGCAUAAGUUUUUAAUAUAAAACUCAGAGUUCCCAGCAAUGAUUCUCUCAAGUCUCUCUAUAUGUGGUAUUUGUGGAUCCUUACCAAAAUGUCACUUACCUAUAGCUAAUGGAAUAUUUAAGUGGAGCUCAUAGGAGUGAAAAACAGCUCAUACAUAUGUUGUCUAAUCGAGCCAUGGAUCCAAAGGAACUCAUAUAAAUAAAUCAAGAUGUGCAUGUGUGGUGGAGUAAAUGAUAGUGAUGGUAAAAAUGUAUAAGUGAUAAUAAAACUUACUCCUUAUUGCUCCUCAUAUUGCUAUCUCUCUUCCUCUUUGAUCUUUGCUUUGGGAGAACAAGGGCUAUCUUUUCUCUUUUUUUUUCAGGUGGGUAGUAGAUACCCCUAAUUCUACUGUCGGACAUGUUGAUAUUUGGUAACGCAAUCAGGAAAUGAUCCGCAAGCGCACGGAUAUCGGUGAGCAUUUCACCCGGGAGGUUUUCCAGAGUAUCGUAUUUAUAUUUUUACCACUGGGAGAAAGGGUGCAUCUGACUAACCAAAUCUAUUGCUACUAUCCCUUUAGACUACAAAGAAUGUCUCUCGAUGUGAGUGAUGUAUAGAGAAGACUGCAACCUUAGUCUCGUUCUAACCUUGGUAAGGAUGAUCUACAGUUCUAUUGGGGAGGCUCACGGAAUCUAGACAACACAAAGGAUGUUCGACCCGCACCUAUAAACCUACCCGUCCUGCUAACGAGAUGUGAUCUGCAAAGGUAACUCGGAAAUGUCACGUUCCUCGCUACUACCACGGUCCAGCUAGUCAGGGGAUAUCUAUGAGUACCCUAGCCUAAACACCACGUUUACGCUAACAAGUGAUUACUCUAAUACUCAACCGGAAGAGGAUUAAAGUAAACUCAUAAACCAAAGAACAAUAAAACAAGAACUUACUAGUAUUAGAAGUUGAAUUACUGAAGAAUCUUAGAAGCAAGCCUCGGGUUAGGAGACUUGAUCCCGCAGGUACAACUCGGAGUAGACACCGACAGGACGGCCUUCCUCCGAUCCACACCUCCACUCUAUCUCUCUCAAUCUAGUAGAAACUAUAAGAUCUAUUUCUACUUUACAUUGGAUGCUAAGCCUAAAAAGAAAUAUUAUUUAGAGAAGAGGUUUUCCUUCAAGGGCACCCCUCAAUCUCUAUGAUAAUUUCUUGUCUCCUCCAGGGGCCAGAGGGGGUCUCCUUAUAUAGUCCUCCCCUUCUAUGCGUUUUUGGGUUGAUAGGCGAGGUGGUACUAUGUUAUUCUAGAUCCAAUAGGUCGGUGGAACGUCGUGUGCGAAGAGAGUCUGGAACGGAGUCCAGAGGGGGGUCUGCUGCCCAGGUCCUCAGGGCAGGCGCCCUGGGCCUGGCCCCUUUCGGGCUCCGCUACCUUCCCGUGGCUUCUGGAGUCUUCUAGAUGGUAGAAAAUUGCGCGGUGGGUUGAUAUCUCUAUGUAAUCCCAACAUGUGGGCCUUUCUUCCUUAUUUCCUGAUAACCCCCUGGAGAAAUAGACAAACACCAAAACCCGUGGAAUUCUGUCAGAUAAAACCCUAAGUCUAGAUGUUGAUUUCAUUUGGAUCCUUUUCUUUGUUUAUUUGAUAAGUAAAUUUGAUACUUAAGGACCGUCAACAAACUCCCCCAAGCUUACCUCUUGCUCGUCCCUGAGAAAGGAUAGACUCAGCUAUGGAUCAUAAAUUGUUGCAAUAUUUUUAAAAAUUGAUGUACACAUGCUUUUUAAAUAAGAUCUCAUCUCUGAGUUAGAGUAAACUGUCAAGACUUAAAACUUACUUACUUUACCUUUACCAUGGGACUUGUCACUGUCACUUCUGUCUUGAGUGGUUAAAAGAUAGAACAGUCUAGCCAAGUGCCAUGUCUCUUAUUCUUGAUCAGCUAUAGCUCUGGGGUUUUUGCAGAUUUUCAAAUAAAACUCAGAAAUUCCUUGUAUGAUUCUCUCAGGUCUCUCUUUUGUGGUAUUUUUGGAUCCUUACCAAGGCAGUGAUGGUAUAUGCCUUCUCUCAAAAUAUGUAGUAUUUGUGGUAUGAAGCAUAGUGACAUUGUCUUCUCUCUCACCCUACUCUAAUAAGGCUUUAAUAUCUGGAGCUCAUAGGUGGGAGAUAAAGUAUACAUACUUACAAGACAUUUAUUGCAUAGUCAAACCAUGGAUCCAAAGAAACAAAUCAAUAAGCCAAAUCAAGAUGUGCAUGUGUGGCGAAUGAAUGGUGUAUGGUGAUGAUGGUGAUAACAAUGGUGGUGGAAGUCUAAUUCUACUUUGCUCUUUGAGGGGAUACAUACCUUCCUUGCUUUUGAAACUUUAUGAGAAGAAUGAGAUGCUCUUCUUUUUCUUUUCUUUCGAGGUUCCGAGCACUUGGUCCUUUUUAUUUCCUCGUAUAUUAUUAUUUUUUUUCUCUUUUUUUUCUUCUUUUUUUUCUCUUUUUUUUUACUAGAGCACUCAUCUCCUGAAAUAAUAUAGCAAGUGGUAGUAACCAAAAUAACUGGAGCAUUUAUUUCACAGGGAAUAACAGGGAUAGGAAAAUGUUUUUGGCUAUUCUCUCCCGGAUUAGGAGUAGAAUAAUUUUGGGUAAAACUGGAGAUAGAAAUGAGUGGAUAUAUGUGGAUGGUACUUCCAGAGUAGAAGUAGCAUGUAUGAGUGAACGUGCAAGUGAAUCUUGAUUUUAACCACAUGACAAGCUCCUAAGGGUCUACACAGCUUGACCACACUCAAUGCUCAUAAGCAGUAAAUAGUAGAUGUGUGGCUCAAAGUCUAGCAAGCAUGUAUAUAUGGCCGUGGUAGGAAUUUAAACUCUCAUCAUAUAGAAACUCAUCAUGUGAUAUUUUAAAGAUUUUUCAAAGAUAAAAUUCUCCAGAAUUCUAGCAUCUCUAGGAACAGAUAAACAGCAGCUCAACCUUCCCGUAUCAUAUCCGUUAACAACUUAGACUUUUGAUCAGGUACUCUUCCCACAAGUUUAGGUUUAGAGCAAAUCUUAAUUCAUAACAGUCAUGCCUAAACUUGAGAGAGAUUUCAAUUUUAAGAACUAGUCAUGGCAGAGCAACUAUUCAUCAUUUCCAUGUGAGAGUUUAUCAUGAGGGUUCAUAGCAAACUUUAUUUAUUUAUUUAGCAAACUAAGCAAAGAUAUAUAUAAAAACACAAAAUCUUUAUUUGGGUUUUUUAUGAUUAUGCAUCUUUUUAUUAAUUGAGUAAAGUAUAAACACAAGUAGAAACACUUAGCUGGAUAAAUGGGGGUGCUCUCCCCCAAGCUGGAUUUUGACGUAAUUUCUUCUGAUGUAGCUAGCAGGUGAUGGAGGUGUAUUUGAAAGUCGGCAGCACCCUGACAGCGAUUAGGAUGUCCUCCGUCUGCUAGUCUUCUUUGAUCCUUGAAUUAUGUGGAGCUCAAAUAGACAACAAAGCUUUGUGCAACUGGUUAAGUGUUAGCAUAAAUAUCUAGCCUUUAUCAUGUUGAGCCUCCUCAAUAAAUAUUACUUAUUUAGCAGGAUCAUGCACUUAUUAUUUUUAUAUUUUUAUUGUAAGAUGAAAACAUAUUUAUUUUAUUUUUAUGCCACCACAGUGAAUGUACUUAUGGGUUUUAUGCCAUGAGCAUUCUCACAUGGGGCUUACUAUUUUUUUAACAUUUUUAUUUUCUUUUCAAGAUAGCAUGAACCUGAUUAACUAAGCAAACUAUAAUUUAAUAAUUGAAAGGAAAAGGAUAACUACCAAGUUUACCUCUUGGCAAGGCGUUCGGUGUUUUUAAGCCCUCCGAACGGGACUCUCCGUUUUCUCAGUCGUCCUGGGAUUCGCUAGGUGGCGUAGUCGGGGGUUCCGGCGGCGCCUCCUCUUCGUGUAUAACUAUCUUCUCUUUCCAUACCUGACUCGGUGCUACGGUCUCCUCAGGACAGUUCUGUUCAAGUUGUAUGUCUUCAGUCCUUAUCACUUCUCCUUCGUAGUCUACCCAUCCGUCCGAUUUGCCUCCUCUGGUUGCGGUUUGUCUUCUUCUUGUCCUGACCUGCUUAGAAUCUUCAACUAUAUAAUCAUUAAAGUAGUGGCGUACCUUUCGCAGAGGGGAAGUGCAUGUGGACUUCUCCGGUUCCAAUAUAGAUAAUGGCUUUGAUAGUGCUGAGGAACGGUCUUCCAAGGAUGGUGGAUGGAUCAUACUCAUCUUCUCCUAUGUCAAUGACCUGAAAAUUGUUUGAAGCUGAAUGUAUCUUGGUUGUAGGGGCAUGGUUCCAUGCAGGAGCUGAUAAGUGACUGCGGCCAUUAUGUUGUCGUCAGAUCCGGUGUCGUAGAGUGUCUUCUAAAAAGAGUAUCCAUUGUUUGUGCAUUCGAUUCUUGGAACACCAGGGUCGUCCUUCUUGAUCAAGAAAGGUGACUUGAGUCGACGAUCUUGACCUCCUUGAGCUGCAGUGACCAUCUCAGCUGACUCGGUCCACAUUUUCUUGUUCUUGUUCCUCCUGUUGGUCCUCUUCCUUGGUUCAUGUCAGGAUUGCUCUGAAGUUUGUGUAGUCUUGUUCUUGAAGGAAAGUCUCCUUCUUCCCCUUGAUGUAGAGAUUGAUCUUGGCAGCAUUUGCGUAGAUGACUGCUCUGGUGUUUAGGAAUGGCCUCCCUAAGAUGAUGGGUGCCCUCUCCUCACUACCAGUCUCUAUCACCACGAAGUUUGCUAGAGCGUACAAGGUACCAACUUGGACACAGAGGUUCUUCACUAUUUCCUUUGGGAAACUAAGUGUCUGAUCUCCAUUGUGUUUGUGCUCGUAGAUCCUGGUUCUUCACUUAGUGGAAUCUGGGAGUUGUAAAACUCCUCCAGGUUUUGUUCGAAGUGUACCUGCUCAUAGAGACAAGGCAGAGAUCAAGUGCAUGGGCUCUGUUGGUGGAAAACACCAACACAACCAAAAGUGUAUUUGUUCUUCUCUAACCUUAAGCAUAGUGAGCAAGACAAAGUUGAUGGAUCAUGAGUGUAGCAUUUGUCAGAUCAGAUGGCUCAACCUAAUGGAAAGAUAAUCUAUCUAUAUUAUGUUUUGUUUAUAUCUUCCAAAGAUUUAAAUGUGCAACAUAUUAGCUUAUAUGAUUAGGAGUGUGGGAUCACGAAGGUAGUACUAAGAACAAAGAUUAAAGGACUAAACAUGUUGAAUUAAUUGAGUUGGUUAAUUUGGAGCUACAAAUCAUACAUGUUUGUCUCUUUAUUUUUGUGAAUGCCAGAACCAAGGAGAACUUAUAAAAGUGAUAAUCAAGUACUUUAAGAUGUUAUUGAAGAGUGAUGGUAUAGUAUCACCUUGUGGAAGCUUUCCUUUCUUAGCGGUUGUGCAUCGUGUUUGUGGCACCCUCCAUGAAUCAUCUCUUAUGAGCUACGUCUUUCUUGUGCAAAUUGUUAAACUUCAUGUGUCUCCUUUAUCUCCAAUGAGUUUGUAUCUCAGGACUUCCCAGGUUAAUAUUGAAAGUUUUCCUACAGGGGUUAGUCAGACAAAAUAUCCCAUAUCUACUAUAGCAUACUAUCGGCUCAAAAAUCAACCUAGACACCAUAUCUAAUUUGAUUUAGGAGGGCAUUUUAACCUAAGCACCAUGCUUAAUAAAAAAAUCCUUUGGAAGUAAGAUCAUCAUUCCUAAACUAAGCACCAUGCUUGAUUUAAGAGAUAAAUGAAACUACUCCAAACCUAGACAUAUACUAAAGCAAAUAAAGGUAGCAUGAGAGCAUUUAUAGCGAUCUACUCAAGUGGAGGUGAAGUAGUGUAAUUAGUACUUAACAAAUUGAGCAUCUCUCAAAGGUAGGGACAACCCACGUAGCAACAUGGCAAAGGAUGUUUUUAUGUAAAGUACUCCCCAAGCUUGAAUUUUGCAAAAUUCAAGUUUGGAUGAAUUUAAUUCAAUGUUGUGUGAUGGUUGGUUGGACAUACCUUGUGCUUGUCAUUCAUCCGAUCUUCUUGCUCCAAUCCUGGAAAGGUUAGUGACAAGAAUACCCGAAGGAAUAUUUCUACAAUUAUCUUUAUAUGCUCAAUACACAAGGCAAUGUUGCAAAUAAUUAGAAGUGCUUGUUUUAGGACACUAAGCUUGUCCUUGGGAAACCAUCAAUUAACUCAACGAGAUCUGCAAUAUUUAUUAUAGACAUAUGCAUCGACAACCGCUCUUUUAAAGUUUUUAUAAAUAGAAAAGAAGAGAGGGUUGGAGAUCUCAAAUGUGAUAAGGAUGGAGAGACUAAUUGAUUGGAGAGAUGUUUUAUAUGAGCAAGGACUGGGUAAGGUAUUUAUGAAAUAACUUCCAUGCUCACUGUUGUUUCUCUCAUUCUCAAACUCCAAGGAUGAUUCUUCAUGAAUGCUUAAAAUUCCUCUAGGAUUGUCUCUCAAAUUUGUUUUAUCUAUCCAUUCAAUGGUAAUAGCACAUGGAAUUUUAAUGCCCUUUAGCCAUUGAUGUUGCUCUUCUCGAUCCUCCUUCUUAUGCAUGGGAUGUCUAGAGAGAUUCAUAGGAUUAUCGGGAGGUUUAAGAGACAGAGCAUAGUAGAAUUUAUUAAGCUCAAGGAUGGGUUGGAUAGCCGAAUUAUGGGAUUGAAAUGUUUGGAAAUCGGCUAUUGAAACUUCCUCUCCUUGUAUGGGAGAUGAUUCCUUCUCUAUCUCUAAGAUUUUUCUAUGAAGACUAGUACAAGAAGGAUGUCCACGAAUGAAGACAUACCUUCCUUUACUAAUAGAUAAAGAAAGAAGGACUCUACCAAAGGUUAUAUGAUUAAGACCAAUGUGAAAAUAUUUAGGAAAAACAUGGUCUUGUAGGGCUAGGUCUAAACCAGAAUUUAUAGAAAUAUUAAAAGAUUCCCUAGGUGUAGCUAAAAGUGCAUUAUCUUCUUGAUUAAAAGAUAGGAUCUCAGCUAUAGAAAAGGGUUGGUUUUGACCUAUUGCAAUCAACUCCAGACACAGAUCAUAAUUAGGGGCAGGACGUGUUGACUCCCAUGGUCUAUGGCUGGUCUCCGAAGGUGCAAGAAUUUAAUAAUAGGUAUGAAAUUUAAGUUAUCCAUAAAGAUAAUAAUAAAAAGAUAAAAGAAUAAAAGUAUAAAAGUAUAAUACAAGAUAAUAGCAAGACUCAAAGUUAUCUCAGCAAACCGUCUUUCUCCCCGGCAACGACGUCAGAAAUGCUUGUUGAUAUUUGGUAACGCAAUAAGGAAAUGAUCCGCAAGCACACGGAUAUCGGUGAGCAUUUCACCCGGGAGGUUAUCCAGAGUUAUCGUAUUUAUAUUUUUACCACUGGGAGAAAGGGUGCAUCUGACUAACCAAAUCUAUUGCUACUAUCCCUUUAGACUACAAAGAAUGUCUCUCGAUGUGAGUGAUGUAUAGAGAAGACUGCAACCUUAGUCUCGUUCUAACCUUGGUAAGGAUGAUCUACUGUUCUAUUGGGGAGGCUCACGGAAUCUAGACAACACAAAGGAUGUUCGACCCGCACCUAUAAACCUACCCGUCCUGCUAACGAGAUGUGAUCUGCAAAGGUAACUCGGAAAUGUCACGUUCCUCGCUACUACCACGGUCCAGCUAGUCAGGGGAUAUCUAUGAGUACCCUAGCCUAAACACCACGUUUACGCUAACAAGUGAUUACUCUAAUACUCAACCGGAAGAGGAUUAAAGUAAACUCAUAAACCAAAGAACAAUAAAACAAAAACUUACUAGUAUUAGAAGUCGAAUUACUGAAGAAUCUUAGAAGCAAGCCUCGGGUUAGGAGACUUGAUCCCGCAGGUACAACUCGGAGUAGACACCGACAGGCCGGCCUUCCUCCGUUCCACACCUCCACUCUAUCUCUCUCAAUCUAGUAGAAACUAGAAGAUCUAUUUCUACUUUACAUUGGAUGCUAAGCCUAAAAAGAAAUAUUAUUUAGAGAAGAGGUUUUCCUUCGAGGGCACCCCUCAAUCUCUAUGAUAAUUUCUUGUCUCCUCCAGGGGCCAGAGGGGGUCUCCUUAUAUAGUCCUCCCUUCUAUGCGUUUUUGGGUCGAUAGGCGAGGUGGUACUAUGUUAUUCUGGAUCCAAUAGGUCGGUGGAACGUCGUGUGCGAAGAGAGUCCGGAACGGAGUCCAGAGGGGGGCGGGCGCCUAGGUCCUCAGGGCGGGCACCCUGGGCCUGGCCCCUUUCGGGCUCCGCUUCCUUCCCGUGGCUUCUGGAGUCUUCUAGAUGGUAGAAAAUUGUGCGGUGGGUUGAUAUCUCAAUGUAAUCCCGACAUGUGGGCCUUUCUUCCUUAUUUCCUGAUAACCCCCUGCAGAAAUAGACAAACACCAAAACUCGUGGAAUUCUGUCAGAUAAAACCCUAAGUCUAGAUGUUGAUUUCAUUUGGAUCCUUUUUUUUGUUUAUUUGAUAAGUAAAUUUUAUACUUAAGGACCGUCAACAGCCUUCUCUCAAAGUAUGUGGUAUUUUUGGUAUGAGGCAUAGUGAUAUUGCCUUCUCUCUCACCCUACUCUAAUAAGGUUUUGAUAUCUGGAGCUCAUAGGUGGGAGACAGCUAAUACAUACUUACAAGACAUUUAUUGCAUAGUCCAACCAUGGAUCCAGAAAAACAAGUCAAUAAGUCAAAUCAAGAUGUGCAUGUGUGGCGAGUGAAUGGUGUAUGGUGAUGAUGGUGAUAACAAUGGUGAGAGUCUAAUUCUACUUUUGCUCUUUUUAGGGGAUACAUACCUUUCUUGCACUUUGAAGCUUUUUGAGGAGAAUGAGAUGCUCUAUAUAUUUUUUUUCUUUUCUCUCAGGUGGGUGUCCUGUACCCCUAAUUCUACUAUCGGACACUUGUCCAUUUUUACCUCUCGUCUCACUUUUUCUUUUCUUCCGAGGUUCCGGGCACUUGCCCCUUUUUAUUUCCUCGUAUCCUUUCUCUAUUUUUUUUUCUUUUCUUUUUUUAGAGCACUCAUCUCCUGAAAUAAUGUAGCAAGUGGUAGUAACCAAAAUAACUGGAGCAUUUUUUUCACAGGAAAUAACAGGGAUAGGAAAAUAUUUUUUUGGCUAUUCUCUCCUAGAUAGGAGUAGAAUACUUUUGGCUGAAUCUAGAGAUGGAAUUGAGUUGAUGUAUGUGGAUGCGUACUUCCUGAGUAGAAGUAGCAUAUAUGAGUGAACGUGCAAGUGAAUGUUGAUUUUAACCGCAUGACAAGCUCCUAAUGGUCUACACAGCUUGACCACACUCAAUGCUCAUAAGCAGUAAAAAGUAAAUGUAUGGUUCUUAGUCUAAUAAGCAUGCAUAUAUGGCUGUGGUAGGAAUUUAAACUCUCAUCAUACAGGAACUCAUCAUGUGUUAUUUUAAAGACUUAAAGAUAAAAUUCUCUAGAAUUCUAGCAUCUCUAGGAACAGAUAAACAACAGCUCAACCCUCCCAUAUCAUAUCCGUUAAUGACUUAGACUUUAGAUCAAGUACUCUUUCCAAAAGUUCAGGUUUAGAGCAGGUUUAAAUUAUAACAGUUAUGCCUAAACUUGAGAGAGAGCUCAAACUUGAAAACUAGGUACAUGGCAGAGCAACUAUUUAUCAUAUCCAUGUAAGAGUUUAUCAUUUAAGUUCAGUUUGGCCUAGACACUUUAUUUAUUUAUUUAGCAAACUAAGCAAAGAUAUAUAUAUAAGCACAAAAAAAAUCUUUAUUUGGGUUUUCAUGAUUAUGCAUCUUUUUAUUAUUUGAGCAAAGUAUAAAUGUGACUAGAAACACUUAGCUGGAUAAAUGGGGGUGCUCUCCCCCAAGCUGGAUUUUGACGUAAUUUCUUUUGAUGUAGCUAGUAGGUGGCGGAGGUGUAUUUGAAUGUCGGCAGCACCCUGACAGCGAUUAGGAUGUCCUCCAUCUGCUUGUCUUCUUUGAUCCUUGAAUUCUGUGGAGCUCAAAUAGACAACAAAGCUUUGUGGAACUGGUUAAGUGUUAGCAUAAAUAUCUAGCCUUUAUCAUGUUGAGCGUCCUCCUAAUAAAUUUUAUUUAGCAGGAUCAUGUACUUAUUAUUUAUAUUUUUAUUGUAAGAUGAAAACAUAUUUAUUUUAUGCCACCACAGUCAAUAUACCUAUGGAUUUUUAAACCACAAGUCUACUCACAUGGGGCUUACUAUUUUUAACAUUUUUAUUUCCUUUUUUAGAUGAUAUGAACCUGAUUAACUAAGCAAACUAUUUUAAAUAAUUGAAGGGAAAAGGAUAACUACCAAGUUUACCUCUUGGCAAGGCGUUCGGUGUUUUUAAGUCCUUCAAACAGGACUCUCUGUUUUCUCAGUCGUCCUGGGAUUCGCUGGAUGGCGUAAUCGGUGGUUUCGGCGGUGCCUCCUCUUCGUGUAUAACUAUCUUCUCCCUCCACACCUAACUCGGUGCUACGGUCUCCUUAGGACAGUUCUGUUCAAGCCGUAUGUCUUCAGACCUUAUCACUUUUCCUUUGUAGUCUGCCCAUCCGUCCUUGAUGAUUUGCCUCCUCUGGUUGCGUCGUCUUCUUCUUGUCCUGACCUGCUUAGAGUCUUCAACUAUAUAGUUAAGUUUAGUAAAAUAGUGGCGUAGCUUCUUAGAGGGGAAGUGCAUGUAGACUUCUUCGGUUCCAAUAUAGAUGAUAACUUUGAUAGUGUUGAGGAACGGUCUUCCAAGGAUGGUGGGUGGAUCAUACUCGUCUUCUCCCAUGUCAAUGUCCUAAAAAUCAUCUGGAGCUUGUUGACACCGUUUUUGGGCACGUGUCUAGGAUGGCAGGAUAGGGUGGCAGUACGAUGCGGGUUGCCGAUGAGGAUGGUUGCCGAUGAGGGAGAGGUUGAAUGUGACUAAGUCCACAGGCAGUAAUAUGGUGCCGAUGGCUGGAUAAAAAGGUCUGCCGAUGACUAUGGCAAAGGGAUUGCCGAUGAUGCAAAGGAGGAGUCCGGAAGCUGCCAGUUGUCAUGUGGAGGAGUUUCGGUUUGUCACGAAGGAUAGUUUUGUUAUUUCCUUAAUUAUUUGCAUCGUUUUGUAUACGGAUUCCGUGUAAUUUGGAAUUCGAAUUCUAAUCGUGUCUGGUUGUAGCUCUUUGAGCAGGGUAUAAAUAUAAACCCUAGGGCCUUGUAAUAAUAAAGGAAGAAAUCAAUCAAAUACACGUUUUUACUCAUAUUCCAGCAUCUACUUUUCGACGACUUCGUCAUACUUUUUUUUCUUUUUAUUACGAGUUCUUAGGAAUUCGUCGACUUAAGCUCGGCGUGUUCUCAAGUUCCGCGUGAGUACCUCUUAGCCGUGACAUCCGGGCGCAUCGCUGUUGUCAGGACUAAAGUAUUCGAGUUAUCACCUUUGCCGAUAGUAAGGUCAAAUCGGCUGGCACGCCUUAACGUUUGAAUCGGGUAUUAGCCCUUUGUGUUUGCAGAUCAGUUUUGCAUCAACACAUCUUUUGGCACACCCGGUGGGACCGAUUCAAGAUCAAGAUCAACAUGUCGAUCUCUGACCUCGAUCAAGAGAACGUCAUCCCCGUGACGGAAGCCAACCUCAAGGAUGAGCAGAAGCAAGCUAUUGCCCAAGCCAUGGAAGAGUUCAAGCAGCAAUGCCUGAGGUCUUUCAGCAUAAACAGGAGCGGCGAAGUGGUCCAGAAAGAUGCACUGCCGGCACCACGGCAGGUUACCUUUGACGCCAAUCCUGGCAAGCUUCAAGAUAUGGUUGACAAUGCCAUCAAUCGAGCGUUGAUUAACCAAGCUGGUGUAUUGUCUAAUACGGUUUUCAAUGCCGUGGCAAGGACUUUCAAGGAAGGGCAAAUCCCACCAGAUUAUGUGGGCUCCUCCCAUCAUCAGCCAACGGCACCAGAGGUCACGGCUCCAUCGGCUGCCUUGAUGAAUGCAAGUGCACAACCUGCCGUCCCUCCAAGUACAUCGGGGACUACUGGUGCACUAUCUAUGCCGAUGGCAACCAACCCACAAAUUUCAGUUGGGCAGCAUAAAACAACAGAUAUGUUGGCAUCGGCAAUGUUAGGGUUGACUCUUCCUCCCAACUGGUGGGGUUAUGGUAUGCCUCCAGAGUUGACGCCGGGAACGUCACAAAUAACCGACAUGAGGGGCAAAACUCCUAUGACAUCGGCACCUCCCAAUGCGCCGGUGAACCAGAGUCCUCGGUAUACCACAACUACUACUGCAAGGCCUCACACUGGAAAUCCUCAAGAUUCAUUGUUCCAGAUGCCCAACGCAUCGGCAGAGUCAAUGCUGAUGCAGCAGAGGCCUAUGGCCCAGUCUAGGUAUGUCAAUUCGACGACGGUACCCAAUUACCAAUCAUCGGCAGCACCUAUGCCGAUGAACGCUAAUAAUGGAUGGCUUGGACAGCAAGCCUUUCCACAAUCGCCCCAGCAGAGUUACCAGACUACAGGGUUCCAGCAAGGGCAGGUCUAUCCUGGGUUCCAAGGUCAGGGGAUUCCCAACCAGCCAAUGAAUUUUGGACAGCAACUCGGAGGACAGCCAAUCGGUGGACAGCAGUUUGGUGGUCCGCAGAUUGGAGGACAGGUGAUCAAUACUAUGUUCCAUGCAGAUCACGUCCCGAACAGACACGUGGAGGUUCGCCACCAAGUGCCAGAUCCGCAGCCGCCUCAUCGGCAAGAUGCCGAUGCGUAUUGGGCCGAUAAGAUUGCUGAAGUAAUGAGGGAACAAUUUGGGAUAAAACCCAAAGUCAACACUUAUUCUUAUCGGACACCGUAUCCUCCCGCGUAUGAUUUGAUCCCGCUUCCAUAUCGGUACAAGGUACCGGAUUUUACAAAGUUUUCCGAACAGGACGACACGUCAACCAUGGAGCAUGUCAACAGGUUCAUUAUUCAAUGUGGAGAGGCUGGUAACAGGGACGAAUUGAGGGUUCGUCUAUUUUCGUCAUCAUUGUCUGAAUCGGCCUUUACUUGGUUCAUAUCAUUACCUCCCAACUCAGUAAUUACUUGGGCCGAUCUAGAGAAGCAAUUCCACAAAUACUUCUUCUCGGGGGUUCAUGAGAAGAAGAUCACCGACUUGGUCAAGUUGAAGCAACGUAAUGAUGAGUCGGUUGAGGGAUUUGUGUAGAGGAUACGAGAGGUCAAGAAUAAAUGCUAUAGCCUGGUUCUGGAUGAUCGGCAGCUAGCCGAUUUGGCUUUCCAGGGUUUGUUGCCACAUAUCAGGGAUAAGUAUGCCUCUCAGGAGUUCGAAAGUUUAAGUCAUUUGGUGCAGAGGAUUUCUGAUCAAGACGUCAAGCCUUUCGAGCCUAAGAGAGCAUGGAAUAAGAAAGUGUCAUUUGUUGAUGAAGCAACAAGCUCAGAUUCUGAUGAAGAACCAGUAAUCGGUUUGGCAGAGUGGGUAAAAAACAAGAAGCCGAUGUCUUGUCCUUUUGGGCAGAAGGAACCAGAGAAGUUUGCUUUUGACACCGCCAAGGCCGAUAGGAUAUUUGACUUUCUACUUCAGGAAGGUCAGAUCAAACUGUCACCUAACCAUGUGAUCCCAUCGGCUGAAGAGUUGAAGAGGAUGAGAUAUUGCAAGUGGCAUAAUGCAACUUCCCACGACACCAACGAGUGCAAAGUAUUCAGACAGCAGCUGCAGUCGGCUAUAGAGUCAGGGAGAAUCAAGUUUGACAGUUCCAAAGCCCAGAAGCCGAUGAAGAUAGACCAACAUCCUUUCCCGACGAACAUGUUGGAUGCUAAGGGGAAGGCUAAGGUCUUAACAUCGGAGACAGCUGAGAGGAGUGCAUCGGUAGAUCCUCAGCAUCAAGUUACUACUGCCGAUGCAAGAAGUAAGGGCUUGGUCCAGGAAGGAACUAGCUCAGGAAGGCUUCCUCGAUCCGGUAUCGUCAUAACUCAUAGAAGGCCUCGAGAAAAAUGGCAACAACGGAAAGAUCGGUAUCGGCGCCAGCAGGAAGAUUGUCGACGGGAAGAAGAAAGACGCCGACAGGAGUGGAAUCGGCACAGGGAUCAUUGGAAUUGUCCAUUCUUCAUCCAUUGUUGGGAGGAAAAUAUCAAGCUUCCUACUGUCAGAGACUGCCCUGAGUGCAACGGUUAUGAUCGGUACGAUAGGACCGAUCGGCAUUAUCAUGAACGGCGAUUUAAUGGGCCGAUCAGAGGAAGGGUGUCAGUUCAUGACCGGCUGGGGGGCAGAUUUAGUGGGCACAACAGACUUAGUGACCAUGUCCAGUAUUUUCCCAGGAACCAAGAAGAGCUCGAGGAAAUGGCUGAUGCGCGGGUUCCCGAUGAAUUCAUAUUUUGCAGGGAUGCUAACACGCAUCGUAUGGAGUCAAGGGAGAACCGACGCCCGACGGCAAGGCAAAGGCCACUUCCUCCAUGGUGCCCUGGAGGAUUAACCAAGACACAGAAAAGGAGAUUGCAACGUGAGAGGCAAGAAGAGCUAAACAAGGGAGAGAACUCUGGAAGUCGGCAGCCGUCAGACACUAAGAGGGAAGGUCCAUCGGCAGACGUCAACAUGGUCUUCAUGUUGCCGAUGGAGUUUCUUGCACCAGCCAGUGAUGAUGAGGUGGAAUUUUCUGACCAGAUAGCUCAGUUGGCUCUGGAUCCGAUGACGGCUAUCUUUGAGAAACCUGCCGAUGACGAGAGGCAGCAUCUUAAAGCUCUGUUCCUCAAAGGAAGGGUUGAUGGGCAGCCAAUGACCAAGAUCCUAGUUGAUGGUGGAGCUGCUAUUAAUAUUAUGCCGUAUGCGGUAUAUCGGAAGCUUGGGAAAGGGGAUCAAGAUUUGACCAAGACCGAUAUGAUGCUCAAAGACUUUGAAGGAAACGUGUCUCCAGUCAAGGGGGCGAUAUGUGCAGAGUUGACCAUCGGCAGCAAAACCUUGCCGACAACUUUUUUCGUGAUCAGCGGAAAAGGUGCCUACAACUUAUUAUUGGGAAGAGAUUGGAUUCAUGCCAAUUGUUGUAUCCCAUCUACAAUGCAUCAGUGCUUGGUUCAGUGGGUAGGUGACAAGAUUGAGAUUGUCCCAGGAGAUUCUUCUUAUGUUAUCGCAUCGGCAGAAGCGAAUACUUACGAAAGGACCAGGUGCAUUUCAGGAGAAGUUUGGGAGAAAGAUUUUCUCAAAGUUGCCGAUUAUGAGAUUCCACCGAUCCAAGCAGUCGGUUCUGACGACGGUUUUUAAUGGAUAGAUUCGCCGAUGAUGGAAAAUUAGGCCAGGGAUUCACAUCGGCCGACGAUUUGGUAGAAGUAGAUAUAGGUAGUGGUGAUAAGCCUAGGCCUACUUUUAUUAGUGCUAAAUUAGAUCCUGAGUGUAAGCGACAAUUGACUAGUUUGUUAAAGGAAUAUAAAGAUUGCUUUGCUUGGGAUUAUACAGAGAUGCCUGGUUUAGACCGAUCAAUUGUUGAACAUCGGUUACCCAUCAAGUCUGGAUUUCGGCCACAUCAGCAACCAGCCCGCCGAUGUAAUCCUAACAUUCUACCUGAUAUUAAGGCCGAAAUCACUAAACUUAUUGAAGCUAAGUUUAUUCGGCAGUGUCGGUAUGCCGAAUGGAUUUCCAAUGUUGUUCCGGUUUACAAGAAGAACGGGAAGCUUCGGAUGUGCAUUGAUUUCAGGAAUCUCAAUAAAGCUACGCCGAUGGAUGGAUACCCAAUGCCUGUCGCCGAUCUACUGGUUGAUGCUGCGGCUGGCCAACGGGUCAUCAGCUUCAUGGAUGGCAAUGCAGGUUACAAUCAAAUAUUCAUGGCAGAGGAGGAUAUUCCAAAAACCGCAUUCAGGUGUCCUGGUCAUGUUGGGCUAUUUGAAUGGAUAGUCAUGACUUUUGGGUUGAAGAAUGCUGGUGCUACUUAUCAAAGGGCUAUGAAUUUUAUAUUUCAUGAGUUCAUCGGCGAGCUCGUAGAGAUUUAUAUUGAUGAUGUGGUGGUUAAGUCUGGAGAUUUCUCAAAGCAUCUUGCCGAUUUACAAAAAGUGUUAGAGUGCACAAGGAAGCAUGGAUUGAAGAUGAAUCCCAACAAGUGUGCAUUUGGUGUAUCGGCAGGGCAGUUUCUUGGUUUCAUGGUACAUCAUGGGGGUAUUGAAAUUAGUCGAAGAUCUAUUGAUGCCAUCAAUAAAAUAGUGGCCCCUACCAACAAAACCGAGCUCCAAUCCUUGAUCGGCAAGGUAAAUUUUAUCAGAAGAUUUGUAUCGAAUUUGUCUGGUAGGAUUCGUGCUUUCAGUCCUCUUCUUAAAUUGAAAGCCGAUCAAGAGUUUAUUUGGGGAGAAGAACAGCAGUUGGCUCUGGAUGAAAUCAAGAAGUAUCUAGUAAAUCCUCCAGUUCUGGUUCCACCUCAACAAGGGAAGCCCUUCAGAUUGUAUUUAUCUACCGAUGGAUCGGUUAUCGGUUCAGCUUUAGUUCAAGAAUUUGAAGGGAAAGAAAGGGUAAUUUAUUAUUUGAGUAGGAGGUUGAUUGAUGCUGAAACCAGGUAUUCGGCCAUUGAGAAACUAUGCUUAUGCUUAUAUUUUUCAUGUAUCAAGCUGAGACAUUACCUGUUAUCGGCCGAAUGCACUGUCGUUUGCAAAGAUGACGUGGUCCGAUACAUGCUAUCUAUGCCGAUUAUGAGUGGUAGGAUCGGUAAAUGGAUUUUAGCGCUGUCGGAGUUCGAUUUGCGUUACGAAUCGGCUAAGGCAGUCAAAGGGCAGAUUAUGGCCGAUUUUGUGACUCAGCAUUGCGGUCUAGUGGAAACCUUGGAAAUUGUACCCUGGACGCUCUUCUUUGAUGGAUCUACUUGUGACCGGGGGGCAGGAAUCGGCAUUGUAUUAGUUUCCCCUAAGGGGAGGAAGUAUGAGUUUUCCUUGCCGAUUGUUGCCACAUCGACAAAUAAUCAGGCUGAGUAUCAAGCUCUGAUCAAGGGAUUGGAGUUGCUGAGAGAAGUUCGUGCUGAUGCUGUUGAAAUAUUCGGGGAUUCUAUGUUGGUUAUAAAUCAAUUGGCCGGAAGCUAUGAAUGCCGAAGUGAAGUUCUCAUAACGUAUUUCGAGAGAAGUAUGCAACUGUUAAAGGAAUUCAAGGAUUUCCGAUUGGAGCGUGUUCCCCGAUUGCAUAAUGAAGACGCUAAUCGGUUAGCUCAGCAUGCCUCGGGAUAUCAGCCAAUGAUUAAUGCGACAUCGGUAGUCGGUGCCGAUGAUUGGAGGAAAGAAAUUAUUGAUUAUCUAAAAGAUCCAUCCAAAAAAGUUGAAAGACGGGUUCGAUUUCAGGCAACCAAGUAUGUGCUCCUUGAAAAUGAAUUGUAUUAUCGAACUAUCGACGGAAUUCUUCUCCGAUGCUUGGGUGAUGAUGAAGCCAGAAGUUUGAUGGGGGAAAUCCAUGAGGGAGUGUGUGGAGCGCAUCAGUCAGCUUUUAAGAUGAAGUGGAUGAUUCGAAGGAAUGGAUAUUUUUGGCCAACCAUACUUGAAGAUUGUUUUAAAUAUUUCAAGGGAUGUCAAGGUUGUCAAAAGUUUGGUAAUAUCCAGAGAGCACCCGCAUCGGCUAUGAAUCCUAUAAUAAAGCCUUGGCCGUUCCGGGGAUGGGCCAUCGAUCUGAUCGGCCAGAUUUAUCCACCAUCUAGCAAAGGGCAUAAGUUCAUUCUAGUUGCCACUGACUAUUUCACUAAAUGGGUUGAAGCUAUUCAUUUGAAGAAAGUCACAUCGGCCAAUAUGAUUGAUUUUGUGAAGGAGCAUAUUAUUUACCGAUUUGGGAUUCCCCAAACGAUUACUACCGAUCAGGGCACCAUGUUCACAUCGGGGGAGUUCGAUGAAUUCGCAAUCGGUAUGGGAAUUAAAGUGUUGAAUUCUUCUCCUUAUUAUGCUCAAGCCAAUGGGCAGGCCGAAGCGUCUAACAAAGGAAUUAUCAAGCUUAUUAAACGGAAGAUUGAAGAAAAUCCUAAGCGGUGGCAUACAUUAUUAAAUGAAGCAUUGUGGUCUUAUCGGAUGGCUUGUCAUGGAUCGACCAAGGUAUCACCCUAUCAAUUGGUGUAUGGACAUGAUGCAGUGUUGCCUUGGGAAAUUAAGGCUGGAUCUAGGCGAUUAUCUUUUCAAGAUCAAUUAACUUCCGAUGGUUAUGCCACUUUGAUGACCGAUGAAUUGGACGAUCUAGCAGGGCAUCGGUUAAAAGCUUUAAUGAGUAUAGAAGAGAAUAAGAAAAGAGUUGCUAGAUGGUACGAUAAGAAGGUGAAGGCUAAAGAGUUUGCCGAUGGGGAUUUGGUAUGGAAAUUAAUUUUAACAGUUGGGACCAAAAGCUCGAAGUUUGGAAAGUGGUCUCCUAAUUGGGAGGGUCCUUAUCGGAUAAGUCGAUCGGCUCCUGGUAAUGCCUACAUUCUAGAAACCCUCGAAGGAAUUGAAUUUCCCAGAGCAUUAAAUGGCAAAUAUUUAAAGAAGUACUACCCCAGUAUAUGGGUCGAUGCAUAGAAGUUUAGGUGCCGAUAACACUCCUAUCGGCUGGAUCCAAAUGCUUGGGGACAAGACUUGGUGUUUCAAAAGUUUAGGCGCCGAUAACAGUCCUAUCGGCUAGACUAAAAGCUGAGGAAGCAGGAAAGCGCAGAUACAAUGCCGAUGGAAACUCUAUGGGUUAAGCAGCGUCUGGAUUGCCAAUAUAGCGCGUAGCCGAAUUUGGUUGGCUGCUUCUAUCUCCUUGAUGUCAUCAUCGGCAGAACCUUCUAUCGGCUUCAGCUUCUUCUUCAGUUGGAGUGCUUUGCGACCAUGAGCAUUUCGCUCGCGCUCAAGAAGCCUGAUGGUCUCUGGCAAUUGGCUCUCUUCCUGUUGGGCUUGGGACAGAGCGUUCUCUACUUCCUUAAGCUCCGCCAAUAGGGACUCUUUUCUUGCCGAUAGAUCGGAUAUCUUCUGCUUCAGCGCGUCUCCAGAAGAUCUCAGGAUGCCGAUGUUCUUGUGCUUCUCAUCGGUCAAAAGCUUUUCUUUCCUCAUUUCAUCGGAGAGUUGAGUCUGAGCGGCUCUAUCGGCAAGCCGCCGAGAAGCUCUUUGGUACUGCAGCUGGCGACUCUCCAGAUGAGCGGCUUGGAACAGAAUUUCUUCAACGUCGGCUGGGACUUGGCCUUUGAGAGUUCUGAACAGGGUCUUGGUAGGGUCGGAAUCAUCAACCAAUUGCGCUGUGUCCUGGUGGAGGAGAGCUAACAAUUCUUUCAGCCUGACCCUGACCUCUGCCGAUGUGAUGCCGACCGACUGAGAAGUGCUUGCUUCUUCACCUUCUUCUUCAGAGAAAUCGAUGGCGAAGGAGAACAGGCUAUCGGGAGAAUCUUGUUCCUGGGAGGGAAAGCAAAAUUAGCCCAUACUUAGAGAAUUGGCAAAUAAUGCUGGCGGUAAACAGUGACUUACUUGCUUCAAGGCGAUCUCUUGCCUUGGACUGGGAGGUGCUGACGGAGCUGCGGGCUGACCGGCCAAAGAUGCCGAUGGAACUACAGGUUGAUCGGCUAAGGUUGCCGAUGGGACGAUAUCGACUGAAAGAAGACAAGAAAGGUUAUGAGACUAAAUAAGAAUAAGUUCAUCGGUAGCGAUAUUGUUAAAGUAUGUUACCUGGAGGAGGGAUAACAAUUGUCUGAAUCGGGAGAACUGCCGAUGGUAUAAUUGAGCCCACCGGGCCAGUUGUUUGUUCACCCGUGUCAGCUGAUGUACCUUCUGUUUGAGAUCCUUCCUGUUGGGGUUCUUCUAUCUGUGGUGCUUCCUGCAUAGGUGGGGGAGAUGGUGCUUGCUGUGGCUGGGCUUUUGGAGAAGAAGGAGAAGACUCCACCAGAAUUGGAGAUACCGGAGGAGGAGGGGGAGUUGCUACCUUCUGGCGCUUUGUUCCAGUCUUAGCACCCGUGGUACCCUUCCUCUUUGGCUGGCUGGACUGGGUGGCAUCGGCACCUUGACGUGUGACCUUUGCCGAUGCACUGGUUUGCUGCAAUAACGAACAAGGGUUUAUAAGUAUAAAUAAAGCCGAUAUAAAGAUAGUCAGCGUAAAAGAUAAAGAUUUGACAAAUUGCCUUGAAAGCCCGCGCCAGAGUGGGAGCAGCUACCGUUGGUGAUGUCUGGGUUCUCCUGGUUGUAACUUUCCUGAGGCGCACACCCCGAUGCACGAUGGAAGCCAGAGUGGGAGCAUUGUGGCCGAUUGAGGAAAUCGGGCCUGAUGGAAACAAGUCGAUCGGCUUGCCACUCCUGCUAACCGAUGGAGGAAUAUUGUCAGCCUGCAAAAGGAAUACAAGGGUAAGCUGCCGAUGGAAGUAAUAGUGAGAAAAUGAAACGUUGGUUUGAGUUACUUACAGUGUCAUCGGGACCUUCGUAUUCGGGGUCAAUCAUGCUGCGGUAUGAAAGUGCCGAUCUGCAGAAUAGAUGCUCUUUCCAUUCUGCCGACCAUAACUUGUAUGCCUGAGUGAUAAAAGCAGCCGGAACCCAUUCUGACAGAUCUACAUCUACAUCGGCGUUUGGUGGUAGUUGGGCUACUCGAGUCCACUCAAGAAGGUUGUUGAUGGUUUCUCUGGGUUUUAUCACAUCGGCAUAAGGAAGUGCAAUCGGCAACUGGCCGAAAGCUAACUGGCGAGCUAAUGCCGAUGGAUUGUAAAAUUCGUAAGUCUGGGGAGAAGUUUUUGUGCUACCGAAAAAAUUCACUGGAAUGGCUCUGGGAGUCACAAUUGCCAUCAUCGCCUCAUUAUCCCUGUCGAGAGCUUCAUCAAAUGGAUUGAAGGUCAGAGGGAGCAUGCUAUCUGGGUCAUCAUAAGCCAACCAUGGUCGUUCAUCCCUGGCCAAACCCUCAUACAGAGUCUCGAAGAAUCGGCCAAUUUGAUCCGGAUUACUCCCUGAACCAGGUAGGACUAUGACGGCUUCGCCAAAGUUCAAGGGGGCACGCGUUGCCGAUUCCUCUUCACCCAACACAUGAUUUUCGGCUAUAUCUCUUGGGAAGUGCUGUGAGAACAAGUUGAAAUCAAGGCGCUUAUGCAGGUGCAGAUUGAGCCACAUAUUAAUAAACCACCAGGGGCCUCCCAAGUUGCCGAUGGAUUGGACAAGCAGGAGUUUCUGGGCUACCUGAUGGAGAAGGUGGUAAACAGCGCCAAGCAAGUAUCGGCCGAGAGGAAAUUGGCCACCGUUAGCCAGUCUCUCUGCUGCCGAUAGAUAGACGGAAGUCGGUCCUGCCGAUCGACCACAGAAUACAAACUUGUCCAGCCACAUGUUCAGAAAGGUGGUUUGCUCCUUUAUGGUGACAGGCCCUCUCCCGCGGUACUUCUGAAUGUACCCUGACCAACCGCCGAUAGCGCGAGUCUCCACUUUGGCACUGGGGCAGUAUCAAAAAAGUGGGUGCUAUCGGCAGAAGAUAUAUCUAGCCCAGUGAGCAUGGCUACAUCGGCAAGGGUAGGAGAAGCAGGGCCGUGGCCAAAAACAAAAGCAUUGAGGGUGUCUGACCAAAAGUAGGACGCAGCUAUCAGCAGUGACUCGUUCCUGUGCAUAUCGGCAAUGGAUAGCCUAAUGCAUUGGGCUAGCUUCCUUUCACCCCACUGGACUUCAUAAGAAUUGCUGACCCUCAAGAACUAGUCUUUCCACCCUACGGUAGGGCUGGGCCAAGAGCGAAAAGUGUCUUUCCACAGAUCUAAAGAAAAGUUUUCAGCUCUAAAGGGGAUCCUAUUGGUUUCUGCGUUAAUAAGGUUGGUUGGAUCUGAAUCCCCUAGAGGGCCGAGACAUUGAAGGUGUGGUUGAUCGGUGGGGAUGACAAUUUUAUUGGACAACUCCUAGUGAUUUUGGGGGAAUAAAAAUACAAAGAAAAAGGAAAAGGAGAAUAUUCAGUAAGAUGAAUCGCGGAUGAACAGGAAUAAAAAAUACAGAAGAUGAGAUGGAGAUCUGACCUCAGGGACGACGAAGCCAAUGGCCAUCUUGUCGUGAAGAGGAUGUUGGAGGGCACCGGAGUUGAUGAAGAGAAGUGCUUGUCGGAGGUCUUGAAGGUUGUAAAUGGCGCCGCCGCUGGGAAAGUAAAGUUGGGUAGUAGAAUGGUGUGAUGGGGAAGGAGUACCCAAGAAGGAACUAUUUAUAGGACAAGAUGGGCAAGGGCAAAUCCGACUUAUCUCUUUGCCGCAUCCGAGAAACCCGAGGGUACUCAGGUGGAUAUGGUAACUGUUCGCACGGUAAUCCAGGGAUUGUGCAGAUGAUUUGACGGGAAGCGGUCAUUAUCUGAAGAUAUUUUACUGUGCGAGAUCUCCUGGUCGGUCCAUCGGCGAUAUUCUAUAACGGUCAUCCUGCCGAUGGGCGGAUAGAGGGGAAGUAAUCGUUUUUGCGAAUAUCCUGGUCAGAGCAUCGGCAGAUCUUUGUAACGGUAUUGUUGCCGAUGUACGACUGAGAAAAAUGCCCGUUUAGGAAGUUGGGGAUUUCGAGGAAUCUGCGGAGGAUUAGGAUCAGAGUUGUCCAGAUUGAGGUUGUCGGUUACCAGAUUAGGAGAAUUAAUUGCGGAGAAGGCAUCAUUACUGUAGAGAAUUUCGGAGCAUUAAUAGUUUUAUACUCCGAAACUGGGGGGCAUGUGUUGACACCGUUUUUGGGCACGUGUCUAGGAUGGCAGGAUAGGGUGGCAGUACGAUGCGGGUUGCCGAUGAGGAUGGUUGCCGAUGAGGGAGAGGUUGAAUGUGACUAUGUCCACAGGCAGUAAUAUGGUGCCGAUGGCUGGAUAAAAAGGUCUGCCGAUGACUAUGGCAAAGGGAUUGCCGAUGAUGCAAAGGAGGAGUCCGGAAGCUGCCAGUUGUCAUGUGGAGGAGUUUCGGUUUGUCACGAAGGAUAGUUUUGUUAUUUCCUUAAUUAUUUGCAUCGUUUUGUAUACGGAUUCCGUGUAAUUUGGAAUUCGAAUUCUAAUCGUGUCUGGUUGUAGCUCUUUGAGCAGGGUAUAAAUAUAAACCCUAGGGCCUUGUAAUAAUAAAGGAAGAAAUCAAUCAAAUACACGUUUUUACUCAUAUUCCAGCAUCUACUUUUCGAAGACUUCGUCAUACUUUUUUUUCUUUUUAUUACGAGUUCUUAGGAAUUCGUCGACUUAAGCUCGGCGUGUUCUCAAGUUCCGCGUGAGUACCUCUUAGCCGUGACAUCCGGGCGCAUCGCUGUUGUCAGGACUAAAGUAUUCGAGUUAUCACCUUUGCCGAUAGUAAGGUCAAAUCGGCUGGCACGCCUUAACGUUUGAAUCGGGUAUUAGCCCUUUGUGUUUGCAGAUCAGUUUUGCAUCAACAGAGCUGAAUGUAUAUUGGUUGUAGGGGCAUGGUUCCAUGCAGGAGCUGAUAAGUGACUGCGGCCAUAAUGUUGUCGUCAGAUCCGGUGUUGUAGAGUGUCUUCUGAAAAGAGUAUCCGUUGAUUGCGCACUUGAUGCUUGGAACACCAGGGUCGUCCUUCUUGAUCAGGAAAGGCGAUUUGAGUCGACGAUCUUGACCUCUUCCGACAAGGAUCCAAUGUUUUAAGUCUACAAGACUUCUCACCAUCUUUAUCAUUUAGGUGCAUCAUUUGAUUAGGUGUGGACCUUGACGUCUGCACCUCUUGAUACAGUGUCACCCAUGUUCUUUGUUUGCCCAGCAGUUCGAAGUGCGGUGUUGGCAAUAUCCUGUGCAGUGUGUUUGUGCUCGUAGAUCCAGGUCCUUCAGUUGGUGGAGUCUGGAAGUUGUAAAACUCCUCCAUGUUUUCCUUGAAGUGUACCUGUUCAUAGAGAGAAGGCAGAGAUCAAGUGCAUGGGUCCUGUUGGUGGAAAACACCAACAGAACCAAAAGUGUAUUUGUUCUUCUCUAACCUUAAGCAUAGUGAGCAAGACAAAGUUGAUGGAUCAUGAGUGUAGCAUUUGUCAGAUGGCUCAACCUAAUGGAAUGAUAAUCUUUCUAUAUUUAUGUUUUAUUUAUAUCUUCCAAAGAUUGAAUGUGCAACACAUUAGCUUAUAUGAUUAGGAGUGUGGGAUCACGAAGGUAGUACUAAGAACAAAGAUUAAAGGACUAAACAUGUUGAAUUAGUUGGGUUGGUUAAUUUGGAGCUACAAAUCAUACAUGUUUGUCUCUUUUAUUCAUGUGUAUGCCAGAACCAAGGAGAAACUUAUAAAAGCGAUAGUCAAGUACCUUAAGAUGUUACCUUAAUUGAAGAGUGAUGGUAUAGUAUCACCUUAUGGAAGCUUUCCUUUCUUAGCGGUUGUGCAUCGUGUUUGUGGCACCCUCCAUGGAUCAUCUCUUUAUGAUGAAUGAGCUAUGUCCUUCUUGUGCAAAUUGUUAAACUUCAGGUAUCUCCUUUAUCUCCAAUGAGUUUAUAUCUCAGGACUUCCCAGGUUGAUAUUGAAAGUUUUCCUGUAGGGGUUAGUCCGACAAAAUAUACCAAAGCCUACUCAAGCAGUUUUUAGUUCAGUAACCAAACUAGACUCCAUGUCUAAUUAGAUUAAUGAAGGCUAUUUAACCUAAGCACCAUGCUUAAUUUCAAAGCCAAUAGAAGUAUGUACAGUACUUCCAAACUAACACUUACUAAGAUACACAUAGGUAGCAUGAUGGCUUUUAUAGAGAUCUACUCAAGUGGAGAUGAAGUAGUGUGAUUAGUAUUUAACAAAUUGAGCAUGUCUCAAAGGUAAGGACAACCAACAUAGCAACAUGGCAAAUGAUGUUUUUAUGUAAAGUACUCCCCCAAGCUUGAAUUUUGCAAAAUUCAAGAUUGGAUGAAUUUAAUUCAAUGUUGUGUGAUGGUUGGUUGGACAUACCUUGUGCUUGUCAUUCAUCCGAUCUUCUUGCUCCAAUCCUAAAAAGGUUAGUGGCAAGAAUACCCGAAGGAAUAUUUCUACAACUAUCUUUAUAUGCUCAAUACACAAGGCAAUGUUGCAAAUAAUUAGAAGUUCAUGUUACGGUCUGAUAAGUGCUUGUUUUAGGACACUAAGCUUGUCCUUGGGAAACCAUCAAUUUAUGUCGACGAAGUGGUUUCCCCUCCGAUGCUGACCUAUAUCAAGAUCAACUCAACGAGAUCUGUAAUAUUUAUUAUAGACAUAUGCAUCGACAACCACCCUUUUAAAGUUUUUAUAAAUAGAAAGGAAGAGGGGGUUGGAGAUCUCAAAUGCAGUGAUGUUGGAGAGAUCAAUUGAUUGGGGAGAUGUUUUAUAUGAGCAAGGAUUUGGUGAGGUAUUUACGAAAUAACUUCCAUACUCAAUGUUGUUUCUCUCAUUCUCAAACUCCAAGGAUGAUUCUUCAUGAAUGCUUAAAAUUCCUCUAGGAUUGUCUCUCAAGUUUGUUUUAUCUAUCCAUUCAAUGGUGAUAGCACAUGGAUUUUUAAUGCCCUCUAGCCAUUGAUGUUGCUCUUCUCGAUCCUCCUUGUGGUCUUGGUGACUCUUAUGAAUGGGAUGUCUAGAGAGAUUCAUAGGAUCAUCGGGAGGUUCAAGAGAAAGAGCGUAGUAGAAAUUAUUAAGCUCAAGGAUGGGUUGGAUAGCCGAAUCAUGGGAUUGAAAUGUUUGGAAAUCGGCUAUUCAAACUUCCUUUCCUCGUCUGGGAGAUGAUUCCUUCUCUAUUUCUAGGAAUUUUUUAUGAAGACUAGUGCAAGAAGGAUGUCCACAAAUGAAGACAUACCUUCCUUUACUAAUAGAUAAAGAAAGAAAGACUCUACCAAAGGUUAUAUGAUUAAGACCAAUGUGAAAAUAUCGAGAAAAAACAUGGUCUUGUAGGGCUAGGUCUAAACCAGAAUUUAUAGAAAGAUUAACAUAUUCCCUAGGUGUAGCUAAAAGUGCAUUAUCUUCUUGAUUAAAAGAUAGGACCUCGGCUAUAGAAAAGGGUAGGUUUUGACCUAUUGGAAUCAACUCCAGACACAGAUCAUAAUUAGGGGUAGGACUUGUUGACUCCCAUGGUCUGUGACUGGUCUCCGAAGGUGCAAAGAUUUCAAUAAUAGGUAUGGAAUUUAGGUUAUCCAUAAAGAUGGAAAAAAUAAAAAGAUAAAAGUAUAAAAGUAUAAUACAAGAUAAUAGCAAGACUUAAAGUUAUCUCAGCAAACCGUCUUUCUCCUCGGCAAGGGCGCUAGAAAUGCUUGUUGAUAUUUGGUAACGCAAUCAGGAAAUGAUCCGCAAGCGCACGGAUAUCGGUGAGCGUUUCACCCGGGAGGUUUUCCAGAGUAUCGUAUUUAUAUUUUUUCCACUGGGAGAAAGGGUGCAUCUGACUAACCAAAUCUAUUGCUACUAUCCCUUUAGGCUACAAAGAAUGUUUCUCGAUGUGAGUGAUGUAUAGAGAAGACUGCAACCGUAGUCUCGUUCUAACCUUGGUAAGGAUGAUCUGCUGUUCUAUUAGGGAAGCUUACGGAAUCUAGACACCACAAACGGUGUUCGACCCACACCUAUAAACCCUACCUGUCCUGCUAACAAGAUAUGGGAUACAAAGGUAACUCGGAAAUGUCACGUUCCUCGCUACUACCACGGUCCAGCUAGUCAGGGGAUAUCUAUGAGUACCCUAGCCUAAACACCACGUUUACGCUAGCAAUGAUUACUCUAAUACUCAACCGGAAGAGCAUUAAAGUAAACUCAUAAACCAAAGAACAAUAAAACAAGAACUUAAUAGAAUUAGAAGUCGAAUUACUGAAGAAUCUUAGGAGCAAGCCUCGGGUUAGAAGACUUGAUCCCGCAGGUACAACUUGGAGUAGACACCGACAGGCCGGCCUUCCUCCGAUCUACACCUCCACUUAUCUCUCUCAAUCUAGUAGAAACUAGAAGAUCUAUUUCUACUUACAUUGGUUGCUAAGCCUAAAAUAAAUUUUAUUUAGAGAAGAGGUUUUCCUUCGAGGGCUCCCCUCAACUCUAUGAAAAACUUCUUGUCUUCUCCAGGGGCCAGGGGGUCUCCUUAUAUAGUCCUCCUCCUCUAUGCGUUUUUGGGUCGGUAGGCGAUGUGGUACUACAUUAUCCUUGAUCCUUUAGGUCGGUGGAAAAUCGUGUGCGAAGAGAGUCCCGAACGGAGUCCAGAGGUGGGCGGGCGCCCAGGUCCUCAGGGCGGGCGCCCUGGGCCUGGCCCCUUUCGGCCUCUGCUUUCUUCCCGUGGCUUCUAGAGUCUUCUAGAUGUAAGAUAAUUGUGCGGCAUGUUAAUAUCUCUUUGUAAUCCCGACGUGUGGGCCUUUCUUCCGUAUUUCCUGAUAACCCCCUGCAGAAAUAGACAAACACCAAAACUCGUGGAAUUCUGUAAGAUAAAACCCUAAGUCUAGAUGUUGAUUUCAUUUGGAUCCUUUUCUUUAUUUAUUUGAUAAUUAAAUUUGAUACUUAAGGACCGUCAACAGGACACUUGUCCAUUUUUUCCGCUCAAGUGGGUAUGUUUGUACCCCUAAUUCUACUCCGGACACUUGUCCAUUUUUACCUCUUGUCUCACUCUUUUUCUUUCUUUUUCGAGGUUCUGGGCACUUGCCCCUUUUUAUUUCGUCGCAUAUUUUUGCAUAACCCAUGCCUCUUCUGCAUUGAAUCUUUUUAGAGAGAGAAUAACAAUACUUGGGACAGUGAGUGAUAAUAUUAUUUUUAGCAAUUUUAAUGAAUGGUGGUGAAUGGUGUAGUGUUUGUGUGCAAGUGAAUAUCUUAAUUUCACCACAUGAAAAGCUCCUAAGGGUCUACACAGCUCGAUCAAAGUCAAUGUGAAUAUAAGUAGCAAAAGAUGUUAUAGCAAGUAUGGCUGUGGUAGGAAUUUUGUUGUGCUAGGAACUCAUCAUCUGAUUUGCAAGUUUUCAAAAUAAAUCUCCAGAACUUAGUGUAGUAGAAACAAGAUAAACAGUAGCUCAAACUUUAUAUCAUGCCUUUCUCUUACCUAGACUUUAGUUUUAUGUUUCCCAUAGAUAAUAAUUUCAGUUUUAAUGAUUCCUGGAAGAACUCUAAUAUAAAAGCUAGGUACUUGAAAGUAAGCAAACAGAGCAACUGUUCAUCAUUUCCAUCAUGUAUCUUUUUGGUCUUUUAUUUUUUUUAGAGAUUAAACUUAGCAGGAAAAAUAAAGCACACUUAUCUACACACUCUUUUUAUUUUGUUUUCAUGUUUAUAAAAUGCAGUAAUUUAAAGCAAGAAAAUAUUUAUUGGGUUUUCUAAGUUUUUCUCUAUAAGAUAAAUAAAACACUAAAAUAGAAAAGAAUAAAUAAGGAAAGCAAAUAAAAAAUUAAUUGAUAAAAUGGGGAGGAACUCCCCCAAGCUAGAUGUUGUUGUCGGUCUUACCCAAUUGUCCAGAAUCGCAUCAUGGUGGUGAUGUUGUCAUUCAUUGUCGUGGUGUCUUGUCUCAGUUCUUGUAUUGCAGUGGCAUGGUCCUGGUUCCAUUUUUGUUGCUGUUCCAGGAGUCUUCCAUGUUCUACUUGCGUAUUCUGGAUGUCGAGGAUGGUGUUGUCGGUAUGGGUGAAGAAAGCGCCGGCCUCUUGGUAGUAGUCGUUCGUGAAAGCAUAAGAGGCGUCGGAGUAUCGUCCUGCAUCGAAUUGGGGCGGAGGUCUGGAUCCUGAAGCUCCAUAUGGAUCAGUGGAGUACUUGCCCGUACUGAAAGGCGGAUUUGUCCACUGGUGAUCUUGGCUCUCCGGCCAUGUCUCCUGUGUUGGCUCUUGUGGUUGCGCAUGUCGAACCCAUGGGUCCCAAAGGACUCGGGGGUUGUAGUCGCAAUAAUGUAGGUGCGCUGCUUCUUCCGGCCCGGGAUUAGCUCCAUACCAGGUGCGUUCUCGAUGGGUGGUCAUCCUUUCAGAUGCCACUCGUUGUGGAGCUCUCUGGUUUACCGGUGUCACUGCAAUCUCAAUCAAGUAAUUUUGACCAACAUAGAGGCCAAGGUAACUGAAUCUUGCCUUUAUUAUCAUAUAGCAUAUACAUUAUGUUCCCUUAUUUUUUCAACAUCCGAGCUUGCCUAAAUGUGUCAUAGCCAUGAUAAAUUCGUAACUCAUCUAUGAAUUCCAAUGACGAGUUUUCUAGUAAAUGAAGACUAGAGGCUAGACGAGUAAUAAGUGAAGUACAUCCUACAGGUCCCUGAAGACUAGGUAUACUAAGUUAAUGAGAAACCAAAAGUGUAACAGGUGAAGUGGGUACUUUAUUUAUGGCAGCAUAUAGAAGUUACAAAUCUCCUACUCUUACUUUUCUAAUAUCAUCACGAUGGAAAAGAUUGUACCCAAGCCAUUUAUGGAACAUCCUAAGAGUGGGGUGUUCCAUGUCACUGGUUCGGGCUUGACUAUAAAAAUCAUCUCUAGAUAUCUCUCUCCAGAAGUGGUGUCUCAAAAUUAGGUAAGUCGGAGUCAAUGUUCAGGAUGCAUCUUGAAGAGAAACCGAGAUGGUCGCUCAGUUCUCUCCAAGACAACAUAAUCUCCUGUUUGAACAUCCAAAAAACUAUUCCCCCCUCAUAAUAUUGUAAAGUGCAAAUAAAUUCAAGGGUGAGAAGACGGGAACCCAGCUCAGUUAUGUUCCAAAAAUUUGUCCAACCUAACAUCUAGAAAAUUAAGGCGAAUUCAGUAUCCAUACCUAUUUCUUGUAGCAAGAUUGGAUCAAGAGUAGGGGUGUGAAUGAAAUCUUUGUUCUUUAGCUGCUGGUAAACUUCCUUUUCCCUACGGGUCUUCAGUCCAAGGUCUCCUAUCUUGAGGAGGACCUUGACUUGCUGAUUAGAUGAAGAUGACGGAGCUUGCGGGGGUGUCGGGUCGAUGCUCAUCUCUGAUGGGUGCGAGGAGUGUCGGGAUGAACCCCUUGUACCUAUGUUCUUGAGGGCCUUACCUGCGUUCUUCACUUUCUUGAACAUCCUGUAAACAAAAGUUGACACACACACAACAAGUGGAAAAUAUGAGAGAAAAUGUUAGUGGUCAGCUUUCCGGAAUGUCAGUAGUCCAGGGGUUAGUCGUUCAAGACAAGUUUUUAUUUUGGCAGCACCUCCCCCUAAACAACUUUUACUUCCGCUUAGGACAGCGGGAUCACUACUUUCUAGGUGAACCUUACUCUCUUACUCAAAGACAACCAACCUCUCUUCAACUCUUGUCUUCCUCUCUACUCUCUUUGUCACUUCACUACAAGAGCUCCUUCUCUGGAAACUGAAACUUGCGUGGUUUUCUGGAAUGCUUGUGUGAAGAAGAUGGAGGCAGGAGGUGGCAAUUUAUAGGAGGAAGAGGGGACAGGGCGGGUGUUGACGGUCCUUAAUGCUCACAUUUAACCAUGUAACACCCGAAAUCUGAUUUUCAAGAAAUAGGAUUUUAAUUUGAUUUAUUUGAAUAUUUUUUUGUGAGCAUUUAAAUUAGAAAACAAAUAAAUUUUUGUUGAAAUUAAAAUUCAUCAUAAGCUUAGAAACAUGUUUUGUAAUCAUGCUGGAGCACAUCUUAUUCUAUGCUUGCUGUUUUUUUUGUGAGAGUUUAUUUGCAUUCAAAUUAUCUUUUGAAAAGGCUUUGGAAAGUAAAAUAGAAAAGAAAAAAAAAAGGAAAGGAGCCAGCUGAUCUCGGCCAGGCAGCGGCCUCGGUCCAGUUUCCCCCUUUCCCCGCGGCCCAAAACGGCCCCCCCGCAGCGCCCCCCCUCUCUCAGUCUCUGGCGACCGGACCCCGCCCUUUUCUCUCACUGACGUCUCGGGUCCGCAGCACAGUGUCUCCUUCUUCCUUGCGUAACCGAGGAGAACUCCGGCUUCCGUUGGCAAAUCCCGGUUUCCACGGGAGUUAUCGAGUAGGAGAUCUUCCCGGAGCCCUAUAAAGCGCUCACGCCACCCUGCAGCUUCCCCUUUUGUCCCCAAGCUCCAUAAUCCGAGCCCUAGCCGCCAUUAGAGCACAAACCGGAUCUCGCCGAGCUCGUGCUCUAGCCUCCAUCACCGCGCGCCGUCUCUGCACCUUCUCGGCCCCAACCAAGCGCUUAGACGAGAUCGUGGUGAGCUCCUCUUCAUCCCGGUGUUUUCCUUUCGCGAAACGGUGCUCGGAAUCGAGAAGUCCGUCGUCGCCGGCGACCUCCAUUCGGCCGGCAAUGGAGCCACCGCACCGGAGCUGGUGACGGUCGGUUGAAAAAAAAAAUGCUUUUUCUGCUAUUUACAAGAUUGCCACUGAUUUUGUUUUGCUCAUAAAAUAUUCGUUUUAACUCCGUUUUUAUCCAUUCAAAUUGCGUCAGGUUCGUAAUUAUAUGCUCUACAUGUUAGAAAUAUUAGUUUACUGUUUUGAAACUUUUUAAUUCUGCAGUAGCAUUUAAUUAAUUAUUUCUCUAUAGGAAAUCUUAGAAAAUUCAUAUCUUUCACGUUUUAAUUCCGAUUUUCGUGAACUUUACGUUUGUGUGAUCGUAGCGCUGCGUAGAAUAUUUUGAUAAACUUUUAUAUUUGUUUUACCACUGUUUGGUGUAAUGUUCUAAUUUUACCUUGUUUGCUUUGUGUAUGAUUGUCUCCAUUGGAUUGCGUGUUGUUGAUUGAUGUUUGGGAAUAGACGGUGAGCCGUACGUUGGUGACCAAGACCAAGCUUUUGAGGACCAGCAGGCUCAGGAGAGCUUUGAGCAAGGCAAGUAUAACUUGGGAUUAUCCUUGUUACCUAUUCACUAUUAACUAUACAUAUAUAUAUCAUAUGCAUGCUAUCACCUUGUCGACCUUAGCAAAAUCAUAGAUGAUUGUUACCUGUAUUCCUUGCCUACCUACUUGAUGUGCAUUUGGUGUAGAUGUGCUAGUGCUUGAUAUAGUCCAUGAUCUUGUAAGAUGAUUAAUAGCUAUGCAAUGAACAUAAAAGAAUGACAAAUAACUGUAUGAGAUCUUGUCUGUACGUGAUCACCCGGGAUAACAGUGCAACCAUGAGGGCUAUUAUGGCUCUGGCUUUAGCUCAGUAUGAAGCCCUUUUCUAGCUUGUUAGCGGUUACCCGAAAGGGCGGAGGGGCUGAACCGUUUUGGGUAUAGUGUGGCCUCUGUCUGUAUGAGUAUAGGCUGCGAGUCAUUGUGCCAUCGGAAGGGGGGCUCUAUAUCUGCGCGCAAAGGAAACCUUGCGGUCCUAACUUGUUAGACGAACUUUUGAAAGGCUUCAUAGUGAUCCCUGCCGACCUCCCUAGGAAGGGGGUUAAGAGAUUAGCUACCUCGGGCGAAAGGGUAAAUCAUGACUCAUGGGUAAAGAUGUACAACCUCUGCAGAGUGUAAAACUGGUAUACUAGCCGAGCUCACGGUCAGGAGCGGCCUUGGGGACAUCUACAUUAAGAUGAUGAGCUUGUUAUGUUAUUAUGUUCAUUUGAUUAUUGUUUAUGCUAUGAGUUAAUUAUGCUUACAUUUGAUCAUGGGAUUAAUGGAUUAUUUAUGCUUCCUUGAGAAUUGCUCAUUAAUUAUGAACAUGCUAUCCACUAUCAAAAGCUAAUUGCAGUCAAACCAGUGUCAGCUAUUUGAGCCUCAUGAACCCCUGGUUAUACUUGUUGAGUACGAUAUGUGCUCACUCUUGCAAUUUCCCAACACCUCAGGAAAUGAUAAUGAAGAUGACUGGAAUGAGGAUUAUCGGUAUGAGUACUAGGUUUGGAGUCAACCAGUCAACAGUGUCCCUGUGUGGAGCUUCCGUCGAGAGCGUUGUUUACUUUAUGCUAUCAUUUUUGUAUGAGACUAUGUGAUUCAAUAUAUAUUCCGCUAUGUAAUAAACACUGCAAUGGUACAUUUGAGAUUUGUCUACUUAUGUGUGCGACUAUUUCCUGGGGCACAUAUGAGUCUUUUAUGCAUCCUAUUUUUUUCUUAAAAUAUGGGUGUGACAAACCAUCAACUAAUCAUGGAAAAGGAUCCAAAUGCAACCAACAACCAGACUUAGGGUUUUAUCUGACAAAGUUCCACGAGUUUUGGUGUUUGUCUAUUUCUGUAGGGGGUUAUCAGGAAAUAGAGAGGAAAGGCCCACACGUCGGGUUUACAUAGAGAUAUUAACGUACCGCGCAAUUUUCUAUCAUCUAGAAGACUCCAGAAGCCACGAGAACAAACGGGAAGUCGAGAGGGCUCAGGGACAGGGCGCCCGCCCUACUCUCCUGUGCGCCCACCCACCUUCAGUGUCCAAUUUGGACCAGUUUCGCGAAUCAGGCUCCACCGACCUAAAGGAUCAAGGAAAACCGUGCAAUUAAUAUUGGUUUGAUCCGACGGCCUAGAUUCAUCUAAAAAUACUAUAUAAGCAAGGCCCCCUGGCCCCUGGAGAUCAUACCUCUUCUACAGAAUCAAAGCUAGGGUUUCAAUUCUUCAUCCAAGAAGAGAGGAUCCCUCUAGUUCAUCUAGUUCUAGCUCUAGUUCAUCUAGUUCUAGUUCUAGUUAGUUCUAGUUGUAAUCUAGAAAAUAGGGAGAGAAGAGGAGAGUGGAGGAGGAGCCGGAUCUGUCGGAUCUUCCUCAACAUUAUACUUUUGCUGCAACUGGUUCGUUCUUCAUCGUUCUCCAAGUUCUUCAAUUCAUAAUUCCUGAGUUCUUUAAUUACUUUUAUUACAUUCAUGUUAUUUAUUGGAUUCCCACUUGCAUCAAGUGCUCUAGUCUUUAUAACACUAGAGUAGUAAUUAAUAGAUUAGACAUGGUGUUUAGUCUUGCAAUUACCUGGAAUUGCACCCAAUCUUGUGGAUUGUUGUGGUAGCCCUAGGGUAGUGACAGCCCUAACGGUCAACGUAUUCCACCUCGUUCGGAUCGGUGUUUGUAGGACCAUAGUCAGAGCUUCCUGGCCCCCUUCUCAUCUCUUUCUGUGGUUAGUGUUCUGAUGUCCCGAACUAAAUAAUCUUUGAAGUAAUUCUUGAUUCUUAGAUCAACUAGAGAACUCUCAGGAAACUUCCUCUCUUCCCACUAACAAUAAUUAUAUAGUUAUCCUUGGGCGAUCUUGAAUCUUAAUUAGUACACUCAUGUUCCAUGUGGAAAAUCGAUACUCUGGAAUACUCCCGGGUGAAAGCUACAUCGGUAUCCGUGCGCUUGCAGAUUUUUCUGUUUGCGUUUAAAAUAGCCAACAAGCUUUCUGGCGCCGUUGCCGGGGAACGAUAGCUGUGCUAGUUUCGAACCAAGUCGUCCGUGUAUCCUUUUUCUUUUUCUUUUUUUACCACACUAACCUUACCAUUUUCACCACACCACAUGGAUUUCACUCCAAGCAUUAAUGAGCAUGGAAUUUAUUUCAUAGCCACUUCAUUUACUCCAUGCUCAUAUGCAACAUCUUCCCAAUCUUUUGAUCCCUCCAACAUCACCACAUUCGAGAUCUCCAACCCCCUCUUCCUUUCUAUUUAUAAAAACUUUAAAAGGGCGGUUGUCGAUACAUGUGUCUAUAAUAAAUUUUGCAGAUCUCAUUGAGUUGACCUUGAUAUAGGUCAGCGUUGGAGGGGAAACCACUUCGCCGAUAUAAAUUGAUGGUUUUCCAAGGACAAGCUUAGUGUCCUAAAAUAAGCAUUGAUCAGAUCGUAACAUGAGCUUUUAAUUAUUUGCAACAUUACCUUGUGUAUUGAGCAUAUAAGGAUAAUUGUAAAAAAAAUUCCUUCGGGUAUUCUUGUCACUAACCUUUCCAGGAUUGGAGCAAGAAAAUCGGAUGAAUGACAAGCACAAGGUAUGUCCAACCAAUCAUCAUACAACAUUGAAUUAAAUUCAUCCAAACUUGAAUUUUGCAAAAUUCAAGCUUGGGGGAGUACUUUACAUAAAAACAUCAUUUGCCAUGUUGCUUUGUUGGUUGUCCCUACCUUUAAGACAUGCUCAAUUUGUUAAAUACUAAUCACACUACUUCAUCUCCACUUGAGUAGAACUCUAUAAAUGCUCUCAUGCUACCUUUAUUUGCUUUAGUAUAUGUCUAGGUUUGGAGUAGUUUCAUUUAUCUCUUAAUUAAGCAUGGUGCUUAGUUUAGGAAUGAUGAUCUUACUUCCAAAGGAUUUUAAAUUAAGCAUGGUGCUUAGGUUAAAAUGCCCUCCUAAAUCAAAAUAGACAUGGUGUCUAGGUUGAUUUUUGAGCCGACAGUAUGCUAUAGUAGAUAUUGGAUAUUUUGUUGGACUAACCCCUGUAGGAAAACUUUCAAUAUUGACCUGGAAAGUCUUGAGAUAAACUCACAUUAGAGACAAAGAGAGAGAACAUGAAGUUUAACAAUUUACACAAGGAAGGCAUAGCUCACAAGAGAUGAUCCAUGGAGGGUGCUACAAACACGAUGCACAACCGCUAAGAAAGGAAAGCUUCCACAAGGUGAUACUGUACCAUCACUCUUCAAGUAAGGUAACAUCUUAAAGUACUUGACUAUCACUUUUAUAAGCUUCUCAUUGGUUCUGGUGUUCACAUGAAUAAAAGAGACAAACAUGUAUGAUUUACAACUCUAGAUUAACCAACCCAAUCGAUUCAAUAUGUUUAGUCCUUCCACCUUUGGGAUCCCACACCCUUAAUCAUAUGAGCUAAAAUGUUGCACACGCAAUCUUUGGAAGAUAUAAAAAAACAUAAGUAUAGAUAUAUUAUCUUUCCAUUAGGUUGAGCGAUCUGAUCUGAUAAAUGUUUUAAAUGCUACACUCAUGAUCUCAUUAUCCAUCAACUUUGGCUUGCUCACUAUGCUUGAGGUUAGAGAAGAGCAAAUACACUUUUGGUUCUAUUGGUGUUUUCCACCAACAGGGCCCAUGCACUUGAUCUCUGCCUUGUCUCUAUGAGUAGGUACACUUCGAGCAAAAUAUGAAGGACUUUUACAACUCCCAGACUCCACCAAGUGAAGAACCUAGAUCUACGAGCACAAACACACUGGAGAUACUGGACACUCAGGAAAUCAAUGCCCUGAGAUGCUUGAGGACGUAAACUACAUCAACAACAGCAACAACUACUACUACAACCGUCCUCAAUAAAAUCAAGGUUGGAAUUAUCAGAGGCCUAACAACUCUGAGAGGCGAUCCAGGACGCCCCGUCAUCCUGAUCUCCAUCGGCAUGGUGGUCUUCCCAGAAGCACUCUGCGACUUUGGCUCCAGCGUCAACAUUAUGCUCAGGGUACUCUAUGAAAAAUUCUUUACACAUCCUUUACUAGAAAUAGCCAUGUGUUUGCAGCUUGUAGAUCAUACGCUAAGUUUCCCAAAGGGAAUAUUGAAGAACCUCUGCGUCCGAGUUGGUACCUUGUACGCUCCAGCAGACUUCGUGGUGAUAGAGACCGGUUCUGAUGAGAGGGCACCCAUCAUCCUAGGGAGCCCAUUCCUGAACACCUCAGGAGGUGUCAUCUACGCUAGUGCUGCCAAGAUCAGUUUCUACAUCAAGGGGAGGAAGGAGACAUUUUCCUUCAAGAACAAGAUUACACAAAUCUCAGAGCAAUCCCAACAUGAACCAAGGAAGAGGACCAAUAGGAGGAACAGGAACAAGCAAAUGUAGACCGAGUCAGCUAAGAUGGUCACUGCAGUUCAAGGAGGUCAAGAUCGUCGACUUAAGUCACCGUUCCUGACCAAAAAGGACGACCCAGUCACCUAUUAGCUCCUGUUCGGAACCAUGCCCCUAGAACCGACAUACAUUCACCUUCAGAUAGCAGAUCAGACAUUCCGAAAGGUUGAAGAUUUUUAGGUUAUUGACAUGGGAGAAGACGAGUAAGAUUCACCCAUCAUCCUUAGGAGACCGUUCCUCAGCACCGUUAAAGCAAUCAUCUACAUUGGAACUAGAGAAGUCCACAUGAACUUCCCCUCUGAGAAGGUACGCCACUAUUUUAUUGACCUUAACUAUAUAGUUGAAGACUCUAAACAGGUCAGGACAAGAAGAAGACGACGCAACCGCAACCAGAGGAGGCAAAUCAUCAAGGAUGGAUGGGCAGACUAUAAAGGAGAUGUAGUAAGAUCUGAAGACAUACAGCUUGAACAGAAUUGUCCUGAGGAGACCGUAGCACCGAGUUAGGUGUGAAGAGAGAAGAUAGUUAUACACGAAGAGCAGGCGCCGCCGAAACCACCGACUACGCCAUCCAGCGAAUUCCAAGAUAACUGAGGAAACGGAGAGUCCCGUUCGGAGGACUUAAAAACACCGAACGUCUUGCCAAGAGGUAAACUUGGUAGUUAUCCUUUUCCUUUCAAUUAUUUUAAAAUAGUUUGCUUAGUUAAUCAGGUUCAUAUCAUCUUGAAAAGAAAAUAAAAAUGUUAAAAAUAGUAAGCCCCAUGUGAGUAUGCUCAUGGCAUAAAAACCAUAAGUACAUUCACUGUGGUGGCAUAAAAAUAAAAUAAAUAUAUUUCUGUCCUAUAAAAAUGAAAAUAUAAAAAUAAAUUUAUGAUCCUACCAAAGAGUGUAACAUUUAUUGAGGAGGCUCAACAUGAUAAAGGCUAAAUAUUUAUUCUAACACUAACUAGUUCCACAAAGUUUUGUUGUCUAUUUGAGCUCCACAGAAUUCAAGGAUCAAAAAAGACUAGCAGACGGAGGACAUCCUAAUCGCUGUCAGGGUGCUGCCGACAUUCAAAUACACCUCCGCCACCUGCUACAUCAGAAGGAAUUACGUCAAAAUCCAGCUUGGGGGAGAGCACCCCCAUUUAUCCAGCUAAGUAUUAUACUCAUGUUUAUACUUUACUCUAAUAACAAAAAGAUGCAUAAUCAUAUAAACCCAAAUAAAGAUUUUGUGCUUAUAUAUAUAUCUUUGCUUAGUUUGCUAAAUAAAUAAAUAAAGUUUGCUAUCAACCCUCAUGAUAAGCUCUCCCAUGGAAAUGAUGAAUAGUUGCUCUGCCAUGACCAAUUCUCAAAAUUGAAAUCUCUCUCAAGUUUAGUCAUGACUGUUAUUAAUUAAGAUUUGCUCUAAACCUAAAUUUGUGGGAAGAGUACUUGAUCUAAAGUCUAAGUCAUUAACCGAUAUAAUAUGGGAAGGUUGAGCUGCUGUUUAUCUGUUCCUAGAGAUGCUAGAAUUCUGGAGAAUUUUAUCUUUGAAAAUCUUUAAAAUGUUGCAUGAUGAGUUCAUGUAUGAUGAGAGCUAAAAUCCUACCACAGCCAUGUAUACAUGCUUAUUAGACUAUGAACCAUACAUUUAUUUUUUACUGCUUAUGAGCGUUGAGUGUGGUCAAGCUGUGUAGGCCCUUAGGAGCUUGUCAUGUGGUUAAAUCAAGAUUCACUUGCACGUUCACUCACACAUGCUGCUUCUACUCUCGAAGUACGCAUCCACAUAUAUCCACCCAUUUCCAUCUCCAGAACCACUCAAAAAUAUUCUACUCCUAAUCCGGGAGAGAAUAGCCAAAAACAUUCUCCUAUUUCUGUUUUCCCCUGUGAAAUAAAUGCUCAAGUUAUUUCGGUUACUACCACUUGCUACAUUAUUUAAAGAGGUGAGUGCUCUAAAAAAAGAAGAUACGAGGAAAUAAAAAGGGGCAAGUGCUCGGAACCUCGAAAGAAAAGGAAAAGUGAGACAAGAGGUAAAAAUGGACAAGUGUCCGACAGUAGAAUUAGGGGUACAAGAUACCCACCUGAGAGAAAAGAAAAAUAAAAUAUAGAGCAUCUCAUUCUCCUCAAAAAGUUUCAAAAGAGCAAGAAAGGUAUGUAUCCCCUCAAAAGAGCAAAAGCAGAAUUAGACUUUCACCAUUAUUAUCACCAUCAUCACAAUACACCAUUCAUUCGCCACACUUGCACAUCUUGAUUUGACUUAUUGACUUGUUCUUCUGGAUCCAUGGUUUGACUAUGAAAUAAAUGUCUUGUAAGUAUGUAUUAGCUGUCUCCCAUCUAUGAGCUCCAGAUAUCAAAACCUUAUUAGAGUAGGGUGAGAGAGAAGGCAUACACCAUUACUACCUUGGUAAGGAUCCAGAAAUACCACAAAAGAGAGACUAGAGAGAGUCAUACAAGGAAUCUCUGAGUUUUAUUUGAAAAUCUGCAAAAACUCCAGAGCUAUAGUUAAUCGAAGAACAAGAGACAUGGCGCUUGACUAGACCGUUCUAUCUUUUAACUGCUCAAGACACCGGUGACGGUUGCAAGCCCCAUGGUGGAAGGUAAAAUGAGUAAGUUUUAAGUCUUAACAGUUUACUCUAACCUAGAGAUGAGAUCUUGUUUAAAAGCAUGUAUAUCUUUAAGGCAUGAAACCACUGCAGAAACUCUUGAGUUCAUCUUUGCUCAGGGACGAGCAAAGGUUAAACUUGGGGGAGCUUCUUGACGGUCCUUAAUGCUCACAUUUAACCAUCAACUAAUCAUGGAAAAGGAUCCAAAUGCAACCAACAACAAGACUUAGGGUUUUAUCUGACAGAAUUCCAUGAGUUUUGAUGUUUGUCUAUUUCUGCAGGGGGUUAUCAGGAAAUACGGAGGAAAGGCCCACACGUCGGGUUUACAUAGAGAUAUUAACGUGCCGUGCAAUUUUCUAUCAUCUAGAAGUCUCCAGAAGCCACGGGAACAAACAGGAAGUCGAGAGGGCUUAGGGAUAGGGCGCCCGCCCACCUUCAGUGUCCAAUUUGGACCCGUUUCGCGAAUCACGCUCCACCAACCUAAAGGAUCAAGGAAAACCAUGCAAUUAAUGUUAGUUUGAUCCGACGGCCCAGAUUCAUCUGAAAAGACUAUAUAAGCAAGGCCCCCUUGCCCCUAGAGAUCAUACCUCUUCUACAGAAUCAAAGCUAGGGUUUCAAUUCUUCAUCCAAGUAGAGAGGAUCCCUCUAGUUCAUCUAGUUCUAGUUCUAGUUAGUUCUAGUUAUAAUCUAGAAAAUAGGGAGAGAGAAGAGGAGAGCGGAGGAGGAGCCGGAUCUGUCGGAUCUUCCUCAACAUUAUACUUUUGCUGCAACUGGUUCGUUCUUCAUCGUUCUCCAAGUUAUUCAAUUCAUAAUUCCUGAGUUCUUUAAUUACUUUUAUUACAUUCAAGUUAUUUAUUGGAUUCCCGCUUGCAUCAAGUGCUCUAGUCUUUAUAACGCUAGAGUAGUAAUUAAUAGAUUAGACGUGGUGUUUAGUCUUGCAAUUACCUGGAAUUGCACCCAAUCCUGCGGAUUGUUGUGGUAGCCCUAGGGUAGUGACAGCCCUAACGGUCGACGUAUUCCACCUCGUUCGGAUCGGUGUUUGUAGGACCGUAGUCAGAGCUUUCUAGCCCCCUUCUCAUCUCUUUCUGUGGUUACUGUUCUGAUGUCCCGAAAUAAAUAAUCUUUGAAGUAAUUCUUGAUUCUUAGAUCAACUAGAGAACUCUCAGGAAACUUCCUCUCUUCCCACCAAAAAUAAUUAUAUAGUUAUCCUCGGGCGAUCUUGAAUCUUAAUUAGUACACUCACGUUUCCUAUGGAAAAUCAAUACUCUGGAAUACUCCCGGGUGAAAGCUACAUCGGUAUCCGUGCGCUUGCGGAUUUUUCUGUUUGCGUUUAAAAUACCCAACAGCGGGCGCCCUCUAUAGGUGGGCGGGCGCCCACCUUUGGUGCCCAUCCUGGCUGCCUUUUCUCCACUCCCUCCUUUGCUUAAUCUUUAAGCCAAAAAAUAAUUCAAUGGUGGUGGUUGGUCGGUGGAAAAGUGCUGGUGAGUGGAGUUAUGUUGGUGGAUCAAAUAAUGUGAUGGGAUGUGUGUGAGGUGUGGUGUAUGACAUGUGAGAUCCAAGGAGUGUGGGUCAUGCUUCUAGAAGGUUGCUAUAAUUAAAUAUAAUGCAGAAAAAUCUAUGAGAAUUAAAACUUAUUGAGAUGAUAAUGGAAAAUAUUUUUGUGCCUCCACAAUAAUUAAUAAAUAUGGGUUGUUACACACCAUAAAUAUUAUUCAUAUGGGGCUUAUUAUUAUUAUUAUUAUAAUGCUAUGAAUAAAUAUAACUAAUGCAAGAAUUAAUUAUGCAAGAUAUAAUGAUGUUGGAUAAAUACCGAUUUACCUCCCGGCGAGGGUUUGGGAUUUUUGGGUCCCCCAAGCUGGACCUCCAAAUCUUUUUAAUCUUCUGAAUUACCUUCCUCCGGAGAUGGUGUCUCCAGCGGUUCUUUUUCAUGAACUUCCUUCACUGUAGAGUCUCUCUCUGGUCUGGGCUUGAAUGUGAAGUGUUCUUCUUUUCCGUUGAUGUUGAACUUGAUUUCUCCCUUUCCGACAUUAAUGUGGGCAUUGGCAGUGCUCAGAAAUGGCCUUCCAAGAAUGAUGGACACUUUUGAGUCGGGACUCAUGUCCAGUACCAUGAAGUCUACUGACACAAGGAAAUCUCUGAUCUUGACUGGAAUGUUUUCAGCGAUACCCAACGGGUGUCGAACUGAUUGAUCUGCUAGUUGUAGGCACAUUGAUGUUGGUUCUAGGGUCGUAUGCUCAAGCUUCUUGUAUACUGAUGCUGGCAUCACACUGACACUUGCUCUGAGAUCACAAAGUGCAUUGUUGAAGUGUUGGUUUUUGAUCGAGCAAUCAAUAGUGGGGCAUAAUGGAUCCUUCUUCUUCCUUGGUGGUUUAUUGAGGAUGGCCGCACUACAUUCUUCUGUCAGCUUGAUAACCUCAGUGGUGGGUAGUGGUCUCUUCUUGUUAAGAAUAUCUCUGAUGUACUUUGCAUAUGUGGGUACCUGUAUGGCAUCAAGUAGAGGUAUGUUGACAUAUAAUUUCUGAAUGACCUCUAUAAACUUACCAAACUGCUCAUCUGAUUGCAGUCCUCUGUUUCUUCUGGGAAAUGGCAAAUAGUUGGUGUCGUAAAAAUCUUUCCUCAUUUCUCCAGUUCUUGGUGGUUGUAGCAGAUCUUCUGCUUCAACUGGGCUUUCUUCUUCUAUCACUGCUGGUUGCACUGGUGCUGAUGUUCUUUGUUUCUCUUUUGGGUAUGGGGGAUCCCUGGUGGCUUUGCCUCCUCUAGUAGUUAUGUUCUUUACCUACUCAAUGUUAGUAGCAACAGGCAGUGCAGCAGCUAGCUUUAUUAAUUUAAGCUCUACCCUUUUUUUAAGAGUGUUUUGCUCAUCAAAGGCAGUUAAUAGAAAAUCCAUUUUAUUGUGUAUAUCUUUUAGAGAUGAUUCAUUUGUAUCUAGCCUUUGUUUAACUUCAUCAUUAAUUUUGGUUUGUUGAGCAAUUACCUCUUUUAAUGAAAGUUGCUUGAAAGUGUUACCUGAAUUCAUACCUUUGCUAUUGGGUUGACUCGAUAUGGUUGAUAUUUGUAUGCUCUCUCAAUGGCCCUUUGAUCUUCUUUAAACUUGGCCCUCUGGUCAAUCCAAUGGAGCAAAUUUUCCAUCUUGGUUGAUAAUGCUUUUACUUCUUCUGGUAUUUCUUCAGUUUGAUGACAUUGUUGAGCUUCAUCUUGGAACCAGCUUUGGUUUUCUGCUAUCUUAUCCAAAAGUAUCUCUGCUUUUCCAAUUGUAAGCUCCAAGAAUGAUCCUUUAGCAGAUGCAUCUAGGCACUCACGAGCCUUCUGGGUUAAUCCAUGGUAGAAGGUCUGCAUAAGUAACCAUGUGGCCAUUCCAUGGUGAGGACAAUCUGAUAUGUAUCCUUGAAAAUGCUCCCAUGCUUCUGAAAUGGUUUCUGUCUUCUGCUGUUGGAAACUGACAAUAUUUCCUUUUAAGGCAGUUGUUUUGCUUAUAGGGAAAUACUUUGAUGGAAAGACAUCUGACAAGUUCGUCCAGUUGUUGAUGUUAUCUUGAUGAGUGUAGAACCACUUCCUCGCUUUUCCUUCUAGUGAGAAUGGGAAAAGGCGAAACAGUAUGACGUCUUUGUCAACUCCGUUGAUGUGGAUUGUGCUUCCAAUCUCUAAGAAAUUCUGCAAGUGUGCACUAGCAUCUUCAUGUGCCUUCACUGAAUUGUGUAGCUUGUACCAAAUUGAUGAGACUUGACUUGAGCUCAAACUCGGGUGCUCCUUCUACUGCAAAUCUUGGACCAGUUAGAAUGUUCUCAAGACUUGGAGCAGAGAAUUCUUGCAAGGUCUUUUGUGCCAUAGCUUCAGCAAUUGGUAGCUAGCUUCUUCUUUCUUUCUUGAUUGCUUUGGUUCUGAUGAUGAAGAGUUGAAUGUACCAAAGUCAAUCCUGAUAUACCCUGUAUAAAAAUAGAAAAACAACAGGGUGAACCUGCCAAAGCAGAGGUGCCUUGUUAUGAUUUCUCACUUAGUAGCUGUUUUAUGCAAUUAUUUCUCUAUAGUCUAGUCUAAUAUUUUAUAUGAAUAACCUUAACUGAUUUCCUGACUUUCCUUACCGUUCCUAUGUGUUUCCCUUUGAUUCCCCUUUUUGACUCCCCGGCAACGGUGCCAGAAAUGCUUGUUGACACUAGCUAACACCACUUAGAUACUAGGUUGUCAUCCCCAGCAUGGUGCUAGAGUGUACAAAGGUAUUUAUAAAUAUGGAGGCUCUCUAGAAAAUAAUCUACUCUAUCCGCAAGCGCACAGAUAAAAUACCUCAUUGUAGCAUUUCACGAGGAAAGUAUUCCAGGUAUCGUUAUUUAUAAUUUUGCUUAAGAGGACAAAGGGAGAUGAAAUUAAGAUAAGGAUAAAAUCUAUCAAGGCAUAGACUAGAGAUAAACUUGCAAGAACAUGAUUACUAAUGAGGAACUCGUCACACAGUCACUUACUUUGGCAGGGGGUAAACCAUAAAGAUAAUGAUAAUGAAAUAUAAGUUCAUGGGUAAAUAACACGGCGAUUAGAAAAUAGACUACUCCUCAUAUAUGUAAGGUGACAUCGGAUUAGCUAGAGAAUGGAUUCUAAGUUAUCUACUAUCUACUAAGUCACAAUCUACUCUAGUUAUCUACAAGAUCAUAUAUAGUAUAAAAGACAAUUCAUUCAUGUAUAAGGAACAUUGCUAAAGUAAAUCAGAGCAUCGCAAGACGCAAGACUUACUCCGCAAUACAAAUUCUACCUGUCUAUAAACAGAGGGUGGACUAUAUAAGAAUCAACGAAGCUGUCACUAUCGCGAACUACCACACAACCCGGCCAAUAGGAUACAUUUGCAGGUAAAUAAUAUCUAAGCACCACUCCUACAUAUGAUCUACCACUUAACUCCCACGUGUCAAGAGCUAAGCGCUUUGCAAACUUAUACAUAAACUCAUUAUCAAUCAUAACUAUAUCAAAUAUAGAACUAGAGCAAACUAAGAGCAUAAUAAAUAGAGACAUACUGCAAUUAGAACAAAAUAUUAGAGAAAGAUAUGAAAUAAUACCAAUCUUUAUUAACGAAGAUCCGAAUCUAGAGUGUAGUGCUCUACUUCUCUAAUUCCUAUCUAAUCAAUCCUCUAAACUUGAAGGAUUAGGGAGUAGCUAAUUCUAAUUCUCUGUGGGAGAGAUGUCUAAACCCUAACUUUGAUGGCUACCUCUGAAUAAUGAUUUCUCCUCUCUCCCCCUGGGGUGGAGAGGCCUUGAUUAUAUAGUCCUUUCAAGUGAAUUUGGGCCGUUGGAUCAAACCGACAUUGAUCGCACGGUUUUCCUUGAUCCUUUAGGUCAGUGGAGCACGAUCCAAGAGUUUGGUUCUGAUUGGCCCCGAGGCCAGGGCGGGUGCCCAAGGGGGGAGGGCGGGCGCCCUGCCCCCGAGCCCGUCCGGUCUCCCGUUCGUUCCUGUGGCUUCUAGACUCUUCUAGAUUAAGGAAAAUUGCGCGACAUGUAAUUAUCCCGUUGUAAACAUGACAUGUGGGUAUUCUCUCCAUAUUUUCUGAUAACCCCCUGCAGAAAUAGAUAAACACCAAAGCUCGUGGAAUUCUGUCAGAUAAAACCCUGAUUCUAAAUGUUUGGUGCAUAUUGAUCUUUUUCCAUGUUUAGUUGAUGGUUAAAUAUAGUACUUAAGGACUGUCAACACUUAGAUGCUUUUUACUACCUCAAGAAAGCACUUAUCUCUGCACCAAUUAUACAACCCCCUGAUUGGUCACUUCCUUUUGAGAUAAUGUGGGAUGCUAGUGAUUAUGCUGUAGGUGCUGUCUUAGGACAGACCAAAGAUAAAAAGCAUCACACUAUCUCUUAUGCUAGCAAAACACUAACUGCCCACAGCUAAACUAUGCAACAACAGAAAAGGAGCUUUUUGCUGUAGUGUUUGCUAUAGACAAGUUUAGAUCUUACAUAGUAGGGGCAAAGAUGAUCGUUUACACCAAUCACGCUGCACUAAAAUACCUGCUCACUAAGAAAGAUGCUAAACCAAGGCUAAUAAGAUGGAUCCUGCUACUCCAAGAAUUUGACUUAGAAAUAAAAGAUAAAAAGGGAGUAGAGAACUCGGUCGCAGACCACUUGUCUAGAAUGCAGAUCGAGGAUAAACAUGAUCUACCAAUCAACGGCUAUCUUCUGGAUGACACACUCCUCAAGGUGUCAGCCGCCUACCCGUGGUACGCAAACAUCGUCAACCACAUGGUUUCUGGUUAUGUGCCACUAGGGGUAGAUAAGAAGAAGCUGAUCAAGGAGAGCCAAGUGCACCUUUGGGAUGACCCCUAUCUCUAUAUGGUCUACUAGGAUGGUGUGCUAAGAAGAUGUGUCCCUAUGGAAGAAGCUUGUAAAAUCAUUGAGAAGUACCACGGAGCUGAGUAUGAAGAUCAUUAUGGUACAUUCAGGACUCAUGCCAAAAUCUGGCAAAGUGGAUUCUAUUAGCCUACCAUGUACCAAGACACUCAAGACUUCAUCAAGAGGUGUGAGAGCUGUCAGGGACAUGGGAAUAUCAAUACAUGUGAUGCUAUGUCUCUCACAAACAACCUUCAAGUGGAGCUAUUUGAUGUCUGGGGAGUAGACUACAUGGGUCCAUUCUUGCCAUGUCAAGGCUAUGAGUACAUCUUGGUGGCAGUGGACUACAUGUCCAAAUGGGUUGAAGCACUGCCUUGCAGAGCAGCUGACUCAAAACACGCCAAAAAGAUGUUCCAGGAGAUCAUCUUAUCAAGACUUAGCACCCCAAGGUUGGUCAUUAGUGAUGGAGGCAGCCACUUCAUUGACAGGAGAUUCCGUGAAUUCCUAAAGGAAGUGGGGAUAUGGCACAAUGUGGGUACACCUUAUCAUCCCCAAACAAGCAGACAAGCAAAAACCUCAAAUAAGAAAAUCAAGAACAUUCUGCAAAAGACUGUCAAGGAAAUGAGGAUAGGAUGGGUGAACAAACUCCAUGAUGCACUUUGGGCAUAUAGGACCACAUACAAGAACCCCAUCGGGAUGUCACCAUACCAGCUUGUAUACAGAUGGCGGUUCCAAGGUGAUCAUAUGGUGGUUCCAAGGUCGGUUUGAUCCAACGGUGGAGAAGAAGGAGCACGUGGAUCGCUGACAUGGCGCUGGAGUAGCCCCUACUCCAUCUCCCCCAGUAAAUACCCCCUUAGAGAGCCUAGUUAAUCAUGAUUUAUUUUACGAAGAGCUACUUGUUGAUAUUUGGUAACGCCAUCAGGAAAUGAUCCGCAAGCGCACGGAUAUCGGUGAGCACUUCACCCGGGAGGUUAUCCAGAGUAUCGUAUUUAUAUUUUUACCACUAGGAGAAAGCAUGCAUCUGACUAACCAAAUCUAUUGCUACUACCCUUUAGGCUACAAAGAAUGUGAUUCGAUGUGAGUGAUGUAUAGAGAACACUGCAACCGUAGUCUCGUUCUAACCUUGGUAAGGAUGAUCUACUGUUCUAUUGGGGAGGCUCACGGAAUCUAGACACCACACAGGAUGUUCGACCCGUACCUAUAAACCCUACCCAUCCUGCUAACGAGAUGUGGGCUGCAAAGGUAACUCGGAAAUGUCACGUUCCUCGCUACUACCACGGUCCAGCUAGUCAGGGGAUAUCUAUGAGUACCCUAACCCAAACACCACGUUUACGCUAGCAAUGAUUACUCUAAACUCAACCGAAAGAGAUUAAAGUAAACUCAUAAACCAAAGAACAAUAAAACAAGAACUUACUAGAAUUUAGAAGUCGAAUUACUGAAGAAUCCUAGGAGCAAGCCUCGGGUUUGGAGAACUUGAUCCCGCAGGUACAACCUCGGAGUAGACACCGACAGGCCGGGCUUCCUCCGAUCUACACCUCCACUCUAUCUCUCUCAAUCUAGUAGAUUUAGUCUACUCUCACAUUGGAUGCUAGGCCCUAAGUCUAUUUAGAGGAAAGGUUAUCCUUCGAGGGCACCUCUCAACUCUAUGAUGAACUUGUUCUCCUCUAGGUGCCAGGGGGUCUGCUUAUAUAGUUCCUCAAGUGAAUCUAGGCCGUUGGAUAAAACCGACAUUGAUUGAAUGGUUAUCCUUGAUCCUUUAGGUCGGUGGAGUGUAAUCCGCGAGACGGGUCCUGAUUGGACUCUGCACCAGGGCGGGCGCCCUGCCCCCGGUCCCGAUCACCUCCCCGUUCGUUACCGUGGCUUCUGGAGUCUUCUAGAUGAUAGAAAAUUGCGCGGCACGUUAAUAUCUCUAUGUAAACCCAACGUGUGGGCCUUUCCUCCAUAUUUCCUGAUAACCCCCUGCAGAAAUAGACAAACACCAAAACUCAUGGAAUUCUAUCAGAUAAAACCCUAAGUCUGGGUGUUGGUUGCAUUUGGAUCCUUUUCUUUAUUUAUUUGAUGAUUAUAUUUGGUACUUAAGGACCGUCAACAAACUCCCCUAAGCUUACCUCUUGCUCGUCCCUGAGCAAGGAUAGACUCAUAAGUUUCUGCAGUGGUUUCAUGCCUUAAAAGUACACAUGCGUUCAAGCAAGAUCUCAUCUCUGAGUUAAAGUAAACUGUUAAGAUCUAAACUUACUCAUUUUACCAUACACCAUGGGGCUUGCAACCGUCACUUGUGUCUUGAGGAGUUAAAAGAUAGAAUAGUCUAGUCAAGCGCCAUGUCUCUUGUUAUUUGAUCAGCUAUAGCUCUGGAGUUUUUGCAGAUUUUCAAAUAAAACUCAGAGAUUCCUUGUAUGACUCUGACAAAUCUCUCUUUUGUGGUAUUUCUGGAUCCUUUCCAAGGCAGUAAUGGUAUAUGCCUUCUCUCAAAAUAUGUGGUGUUUUUGGUAUGAGGCAUAGUGAUAUUGCCUUCUCUCUCACCCUACUCUAAUAAGGUUUUGAUAUCUGGAGCUCAUAGGUGGGAGACAGAUAAUACAUACUUACAAGACAUUUAUUGCAUAGUCAAACCAUGGAUCCAGAAGAACAAGUCAAUAAGUCAAAUCAAGAUGUGCAUGUGUGGCGAGUGAAUGGUGUAUGGUGAUGAUGGUGAUAACAAUGGUGAAAGUCUAAUUCUACUUUUGCUCUUUUAAGGGGAUACAUACCUUUCUUGCAU